rnacentral:lncRNA from 1 species
UUUUUUUUUUGUAUCCAUUACAAUUCUUCUUCUUUUGACUUUAGGAUUUUGGGCUUGUCUUAUUAGUUUAUAUUUAUAUUGGUUAAAUUAUUAUUAUUAUUAUAUAUAAUAGUAUGAUACAUAUGGAUUAUAUAGAAGUAUUCAAUAUAGUUUUUAUAAAUACCAAAUACAGUAUAGAAUAUUAAAGAAUUUGAAAAGCAUACCAAAUACAAUACCAAAUAUCAUAAUACCAAAAUCAAAGUAUAAAAAAUUUCAAUUUCGAUAUGACAAUUCCAUAUUUGCUCAAGUAUGUACACCCUAAUUUGAUUUGCUUGUCAUUCAAUAGGUAAUUGAAGAAAUGAUAUGCCUUAGAGUGUCGAACGAGUAGCCCUCCUUGCUUUCAAAUUUGACAAACUCAUUAACCUUAGAUGGUUUUGAGUUCAGGGCAUGAGUAAGCCUUUCCUAGGACAAUCUUCGUUGCAUGUACUUUUGUAGAAUGACCCUGUUCAAGCUUAGCUGAGUCGAUUGGACCACCGUAGUCCACUAUGGAUACAGGAUCUAGUCCUUUCCUGUCACGAUCCAAUUUAUCUUAAGCUGUGAUGACACCUAACUUAACACGCUCGGUGAACUAACAUACAAUGCUGCAAUAAACACAUAACAAUAUUGAUAUUAAGUCUAACAUAGUAUCAUAUAUAGAAGAGAAUAUCAACUUCAAAUACAACUGAAAAUACUAAGUACAACCCCCAAGAACUAGUAAAGUCAUGAGCUAUUGCGAAUGAAAAUACAAUGUUGUCACAAAAUAAUUUCACUGUCUAGAAGUAAAGAACAACAACAAAAAAGAUAUAAAAAAAAAGACUCCAAUAGCUGCGAAACAAGUAAAGCAGCUCACUUUAAAGUCUCCAAGUUAGCUCCUACGCUGCAUCCUAGGUCCACUGAUAUCAAAUUUAGUAUUCACAUAAAAACAUACAAAAAUAUAGUAUAAGUACAACAACAUGUACGCUACAAGUAUCAUUGAGUGGUCCCAACGACGUAAUGACGAGGGCUUGUAAAAAUACUCGCUUUAUAAAUAUGUGCAGUUCAUAUGUAUAGCACUAAUAAAAAGGAAGAACAGAAACAACAUAGGAUAUGCGCAAUAACAAUAUUAUCACUAAAUGCAUCAACACGAUCCUAAUAUCACUAAUGCAUAAUAAAGAUUCGAACUUUACAAUUAAUUAGCACUACCGGUACCCCGACACUCCUCAUGUUGAAAACAUUUACGCGCAUACUACUCGAUGUAGUACGGGUAAUCAAGUGACUCUAGAGGGAUGAAUCUAAAUUCACGCGCAACUACAUAGCCAACUCACAUGUAUAUUAUAAAUUUGCAUGGACAACUCACGUUCCAUAAUUAUAGCAAGGUGUAUAUAAAAUAUGCAAAUCAAAGUGCAUAUAAUUAGUGCAUAACUAGCAUGUAAUCUGACAUACAUACAUACAUACAUACAUACAUAUAUAUAUAUUCUAUCAUGUUAUACUAGCAUAUGAGAGAUGCCUACAAUAUGAUGCUAGCAUGGUAAUGAUGCUAAAAUAAUCAUGGAACAAGUAAAGUAAGUAGAGCAUACAAAGCUUGUCAUUCUACCCAAGCAUGAAAAACCUAUUAUUUUAUAUAUUUGCUCAUCACCUUGCAUGUGUGCUACCCUCAUAUUAGUAUAUAGAAUACAAGAUCAAUCUGGGAAAAGAUUCUCUUAUUGAGGGCAAAGUCUUAUUUUACCUCGACUUAUGUAUAAAAAUACUCAAUAAGGUCAAAUAAGGCUAAUGCAAUUAAUUACAUAAUUUAAAUUUAGGUCUAGGCCAAAAUCAACCCAAAAGUCAACUCAGACACAUAUGGUCAAAUCUCGUUGACUCAUAACCUCACAAGUUCGGAUCUACGCUUAGAUUUUCAUUUGGGUCCAUUUAGAUAAUUAAAAGUCCUUUAAUUCUAGAUCUAGGUCCCAAAAUUUCUAAAUUUCACCUUGAAUUCAUAUUCAAAUGAUAGAUCUUAGGUUAGAUUCAUGAAAUAAUCAUAGAUCCAAGUUAGAAUCGCGUAUUCCAAGCUUAUAGAUAAAGAUAUUAUCAUGACCAGGAAUCCCACCCUCAAAAUCAUGAUGGCGCCUAAUAUUUCACUUGUUAGGCAAGCCAGUGUUAGCUAAAUUACUUAACCAGUUUUAACAAAUUAAGAUCAAAAUAUUAAUAAUAACAAACUGUAAUUAUUUGAAAUAGACUAAUAAAAUACCAACUGACGAAGUCUAAUCAUAUCCUAGAAUCUGGAGUCACGAAUACAUGAGCAUCAAGAGUACUACAGGUAAAGUCUGAACAAAAUACAAUUGUUUGAAACUAAAUAAAUAGUAAAUACAGAAUGGAAAGGGAACUUCAGGGCUGCGGACGGCGUACAACUAUACCUCAAGUCUCCUAAAGUAGCUGAAUCCGAGCAGUCUCGCUACGCGCCAUCGGGACUAACACCGGUAUCUAUACAAGAAGUAUAGAAGUGUAGCAUGAGUACAACCGACCCCAUGUACUCUGUAAAUGCCAAGCCUAACCUCGACAAAGUAGUGACGGGGCUAUGGCAAGUCACUUACAAAUAACAUGUACAAAAUAAUAAUAACAGAAAGACGAGAAUAAAAAUAAAGCAAUAAACUCAUAUAAACGGACCCGAAGGUCAACCACCAGAGAGCCCCAAAAUAACAAAGUCUCCAGUCUCAUAUCACAAUACCGAGGAGAAUUCAACAAUCACAAACUAUUACAACAUAUCAAAUCCGUUGCACCGCGCAAUCCGAUCCUACCAUAUCAUAAUCUGUUCAUAUCAUAAUCCGUCCUUAUUCCUUCAUAUCAUUUCAAUAUCAAUCAAUACCGUUGCGGCGUGCAACCCGAUCCCAAACAAUUUUAAAUUAUUAACAUAAACAACUCAACAACAAUAUUCAUAAAAUAUCACACACAAAAGGUGGAAUAUACAGAACAAUCUAGAAUCACGGAAUAAACGGAGGAUCUCCAACAUCUCGGAAUCUCAAAUUUUACCAAUUCGUCAAUAAAAAUAAUUAAAAUGAUCACAUUAGCGAAGCAACCUAAUAGAGUGCAUCUAUAAUCUAAAACAAUAAAAACAGGUAAAAUAUGUGGAAAAUAAGAUAUACAAUUAAGGCAAGUAGAAACAGGUAGCAGAUAAGCAGGAUUCAUGUGAGGAAUGAACGAAUUAAAGCAAGUAGCAAUUAAAAAACAAGUAACAAAUAUAGCAUAGAAGUCAAGUAAAACAUAUAAUAGUUAAAGAAUAUAACAAGAGAUAUCAUGGAAUAAAUAAAAACAUGGAAAUAAUAUCCAAUCCUACAUGCUAAAUCCCAUGACGGCGUAUAUACACUCGUCACCUUGCAUAUACGCCUUUUCCCCACAUAAUUCACAUAACAUAUAAUUGAGCAAGUCCUAAUUUUCUCAAGUCAAGGUUAGACAUAAUACUUACCUCACUCCACGAACAAAGCAAUCAAUCAACCACGACCUUGCCUUUUGAACAAGCCUCCAAACCAACCAAAUCUAGCGAAUUAUCGAUCAAACAAUUCAAAAUAAGCUUUAGAAACUACCCAUUAAUGAAAGAGGUUCAAUUUUGAUCAUUUUUGAAGAAGACAACAAAAGUCAACCCCGGGCUCGCUUGGUCAAAACCCGAGAUUCGAACCAAAAACCAAUUAGCCAUUCACCCCCGAGCCCAGAUAUGUGAUUUGUUUCGAAAUCCGACCUCAAUUUAAGGUCUAAAUCUUAAUUUUACAAAUUCCUCAAUUUCUACCCAAAUCCCUAAUUUCUACCAUGAAAAUCCUAAAUUUGAUGUUGAAAUCUCAUGAAAAGUAAUGGGGAAUUGAAAGAAAGUGGAUUAGAGUUGCUUACUAAUUAUUUUGAAAAGAAUAAGUUCUUGAAAAAUCACCUCUAGAGUGUUUAGGGUUGAUAUAUGGUGUAAAAUGAGCUAAGUCCCAUUUUUCUUUUCUUUUACUCAGCUACAGAUGUCGCAAUUGCGAGCACCACAAAUGUGAGAAACAGGUCGCAAUUGCGAACUGUCCCCAGCCUGCUAUAGUUGCAACUGCGACAAAAAUAUCGCAAAUGCGAUCUCCCUUCCAACUGCAAAUGCGACCAAAGGUUCGCAUUUGCGAACAUGUCCAAGCCUAGGGGUUAGUCGCAAAUACGACCAAGCCAUUGCAAAUGCGAAUCAUGGGAUGUCCGUAAAUGCGAAUAUUUCUUCGCAAAUGCGAAGACUACCCGGUCCAGUCCCCCAUCGCAAUUGCGAGCUCAACUUCGCAAAACCCAAGUUUGCAUUUACGAACAGGUUUCGCAGAACUGAAACACACAAAGAGUCCUUACACUAUCCAAACUCAUCCGAAACACGUCCGAAUCUCACCCGAGAACCAAACAUGUACACAAGUGUAAUAACAUCAUACAAACUCGCUUGCACGAUCAAAACACCAAGAUAACAUCUAAAACUACAAAUUGAACAUCAAAACAAAUGAAAUUUUAAAGGGAAACUUAAGAACAUCUAGAAUCACAACUAAGCGUCCGAAUCCUAUCAAACAAACUCCGAUUUGCACCAAAUUUUGCAGACAAGUUUCAAAUUGCAAAACGGACCUAUACCAAGGCUCAAAACUAAAAUCCCAACUCGUUAACCAUAAAGUCAACCUAUGGUCAAACCUAUAAAAUUUCUAAUCUUUCAAAUUGCUAACUUUCGGCAAAACAAGUCAAAUCAACCUAGGGACCUCCAAAUUAAUUUUCGAACAUAUGUCCAAGUCCAAAAUUAUAAUAUGGACCUACCAAAAUUGUCAAAAUAUCGAUCCGGGAUUGUUUACACAAAAAUGUUGACCGUAGUCAACUAUAACCUCAUUUUUUGUCAAUAUUUACAUUUUCUUUAAAAUUUCACAUAAAAGCCUUUCAGAAAGAUAUACGGACCACACACGCAAACCAAAAAACAUCAAACACAGUUAAUGGAGGUCUCAAAACACGAAAAUCAAGGCUAGUACUCAAAACGACCUAUCAAAUCAUCACAUUGUCCACCUUUAAAAGAAACAUUCGUCCUCGAACGAACAUAGAAAAGUACCUGAACUGGCGAAAAGCUGUGGAUAUCUACUCUGCAUAUCGUACUCAGACUCUCACGUAGCUGCCUCGAUCGGCUAACCUCUCUACUGCACUCUCACAAAUAAAUAACUCUUAGACCUCAACUUUCGGACCUGCCGGGCUAGAAUAGCCACCGGCUCCUAUUCAUAAGUUAAAUCCUUGUCUAAUGGGACUGAGCUGAAAUCUAAUACAUGGGACGGAUAACCAUGCUACUUUCGAAGCAUGAAACAUGGAACACCGAGUAAAGUACCGAUAAGCUGGGUUGCAAUGCAAGUCUGUAGGCCUCCUCACCAACUCUCUCAAGGAUCUCAAAAGGACCAAUAUACUAGGUCUCAACUUGACCUUCUUCUCGAACCUCAUCACACCUUUCAUGGGUGAAACCCACAGCUAAACCCUCUCUCCCACCAUGAAUGCUAUAUCAUGAGCCCUCCAAUCAACAUAACUCUUCUGCCUAGUCUGGGUUGUAUGAAACCUAUCCUAGAUCAACUUUACUUUCUCCAAGGCAUCCCGAACCAAGUCACUACCCAACAAUCUAGCCUCGCCCUGGUCAAACCAACCAACUGGAGAAUGCCGCCGCCUCCAAUAUAAGGCCUCAAAAGGAGCUAUCUGAAUACUCGAUUAGUAGCUGUUGUUGUAGGUAAACUCAGCAAGCGGUAGAAACUGAUCCCAUGAACCCAUGAAAUCCAUAACACAUGCACGUAGCAUAUCCUACAAGAUCUGAAUGGUGUGCUCGGACUAUCCGUCAGUCUGGGGGUGGAAUGAUGUACUCAACGCAACCCGUGUGCCUAACUCACAUUACACGACUCUCCAAAAAUACGAUGUCAAUUGCGUGCCUCAGUCGGAGAUAAUAGACACUGGCAUACCGUGGAGACGAAUAAUCUCACAGAUAUAGAUCUGGGCCAGAUGAUAUGAAGAAUAAGUAGCCACCACCGGAAUAAAAUGUUCCAACUUGGUCAACCUAUCCACAAUGACCCAUACAACAUCAAAUUUCUUAAAGGUUUGUGGGAGCCCAACAACGAAAUCCAUGGUAAUACACUUCCACUCGGGAAUCUCAAGUCUCUAAAGCAAACCGCCCGGCCUCUGAUCCUCGUACUUCACAUGCUGACAGUUCAAACACUGAGCCACAUACUCUACUAUAUCUUUCUUCAUUCUUCUCCACCAAUAGUGCUGCCUUAAAUCCUGAUACAACUUGGCGGUGAAUACCAGGAAUUGUGGGAUUCCUCAAGAAUCAAAUCGCACAGCCCAUCCAUAUUGGGCACAUAUAUCCGACCCUUCAUCCACAACACCCCAUCAUCUCCAAUAGAAACCUCCUCGGCAUCGCCGUGCUGCAUUGUGUCCUUAUGAAGAAACAAAUGGAGGUUGUCAUACUGGCACUCUCUGAUGCGCUCAUACAAAGAAGACCGAGAAACCAUGCAAGAAAAAACCCGACUAGGCUCCGAAACAUCUAACCUCACGAGCUGAUUGACCAAAGACUGAACAUCCAAUGCUAGCAGUCUCUCACCAGCUGGAAUAUAUACAAGGCAACCCAUACUCUUAGCCUUUCUGCUCAAGGCAUCGACCAUCAUAUUAACCUUCCUCGGAUGGUACAAAAUGGUGAUAUCAUAGUCUUUUAAUAGCUCUAACCACCUCUGCUACCUCAAGUUUAGAUCCUUUUGCCUAAAUAAGUGUUGUAGACUCCGAUGAUCCGUGAAUACCUCACACGACAUGACGUAAAGUUAAUGCCUCCAAAUCUUCGAUGUAUGAACAAUAGCUGCCAAUUCCAAGUCGUGCACCGAGUAAUUCUUCUCAUGAACCUUCAACUACUGAGACACAUGGGCAAUCACCCUACCCUCUUGUAUAAACACCGCGCCAAGACCAAUACGCGGCGCAUCACAAUACAUAGUGUAAGGCCCUAAACCCGUAGGAAACACCAACACUGGGGCUGUAGUCAAUGCAGUCUCGAGCUUCUGAAAGCUCUCCUCACAUUCAUCAGACCAUCUGAAUGGGGCGCCCUUCUGGGUCAAUCUAGUCAAUGGGGUUGAGAUAGAUGAAAAUCCCUCCAUGAACUAGCGAUAAUAACCCGUCAAACCUAGGAAGUUCCGAAUCUUUAUAGCUAAAGUAGGUGUAGGCCAGUUCUGAACUGCCUCAAUCUUCUUAGGAUCCACUUUAAUGCCCUCUGAAGAUACAACAUGACCCAAAAAGGCAACCGAAUCCAACCAAAACUCACACUUUAAAAAGUUGGCAUAUAACUGACUAUCUCUCAGAGUCUAAAGUGCGAUCCAAAGAUGCUGCUCAUGCUCCUCUCGAUUGCGGGAGUAGACCAAAAUAUCAUCAAUAAAGACAAUCACAAAAUAUCCAAAUAGGGCUUGAAUACCCGGUUAAUCAAAUCCAUAAAUGUCGCUGGGGCAUUUAUCAAGCCAAAUGACAUCACUAGGAACUCAUAAUGACCAUACCAAAUCCAAAAAGGUGUCUUAAGGACAUCUGAUGCCCUAAACUUCAACUGAUGGUAGCCAUAUCUCAGAUUAAUCUUUGAAAACACUUUGGCACACUGAAGUUUAUCAAAUAAGUCAUCAAUCCUCGGUAAUGAAUACUUGUUCUUGAUAGUGACCUUGUUCAACUACCGAUAAUCUAUACACAUCCUCAUCAAACUAUCCUUCUUCUUCACGAACAACACUGUUGCACCCUUGGGUGAGAAACUAGGUCUAAUGAAUCCCUUAUCAAGCAAAUCGUGCAACUGCUCUUUUAGUUCCUUCAACUCAACUGGGGCCAUACGGUAUAAUGGAAUAGAAAUGGGCUGAGUGCCAAGGGCCAAGUCAAUACAAAAGUCGACAUCUCUGUCGGGGGCAUCCCUGGCAAAUCUGUAGGAAACACCUCUGGAAACUCACACACAACUGCUACUGAAUCCAUUGAAGGAACCUUGGCACUAGGAUCACGGAUAUAGGCCAAAUAUGCUAGAAAUCCCUUCUCGAUCAUACGCUGAGCCUUCACAUAAAAAAUAACCCUGCUAGUAGAAUAGCGAGGAGUCCCCCUCCACUCUAAUCGAGGCAACCCCGGUAUGGCUAAGGUCACCGUCUUGGCGUGAUAGCGUGAUAAGGUGACAACCAAUCCAUACCCAAGAUAACAUCAAUGUCCACCAUAUCAAGAAGUAGAAGGUCUACUCUAAUCUCAAAGCUCCCGAUAGAAACCACACACGAGCGAUAAACACGGUCUACUACAAUAGAAUCUCCUACAGGCAGCAACAACGGGCUAAAAUAUGGGGAGACGGGCUAGAUCCACAUAUAGGGAGAGGGUGAGGAGAUUUAUUGAUGGGGAGACGGGCUAUAUCCACAAAUAUGGUCUCAUACUAGGUAAAAAUCAUGCCACCCUAUUGGAGGAGCUCGAACUGCCUGCGGUACUCCUCUCUCAGAGUGAAAGGAAUGAACUUCUCCAGAAAGAGCUGCGAAAACUAAUCCCUAGUAAGUGGAGGUGAACUGGCUGGUCUGCUUUGCAUAAAAUCCUGCCACCACCUCUUGGUAGAACUGGUCAUAUGAAACACUUCAAAGUUGACUCCAUUGGACUCCACAAUACCCAUGUUUCACAACACCUAGUUGAAACGAUCCAAAUAGUCUUGUGGGUCCUCAAAAGGUGUACCACCAAAGUGAAUAGGAAAGAGUUUGGUGAACUUAUCCAACCUCAUUAAUCCCUUAGAAGACAUCGCGGGCCUCUCUCCGGGUUGCGCAGCAACAACGGGCUAAAAUACCCUAAUUGCCGGAAUCGCCAGAGUCUGAUAUAUGGGAGCCAUCUGCUCUGGAGUGUGAGUGGAGGGAGUCUCAAGUCUACCAUGUUAUUUUUAUUAUUGUUGUUGUUUACUCGGCGUUGUUGAGCUGUUGUCUAUGUGUGGUUGUGGUAUCAAAAUUGCUGUUAUGGAAAUAUUGUGGCAAAUGGGCACAUAUGGUGCGAGUUGUUAUGUUUUUGGCUAAUGUAGGAUUGUUGAGAGGACUGUCGGGGUGUUUUUCACGCGAGUUGUCCGUGCAAUUGCUAUUAUUGAUAUUUGCACAUGCGGCGAGACAAGGCGGGUUGUAUAUAUAUGUUGGGUUUGCACAUGUGGAGAGACAAAGUGGGAUAAUUAUCUAUGCGCAUGUGGCAAGAUAAGGCAUAUAUUUACUUUAUUGUUACGCACGCGGCGAGACAAGGUGGGCUAUGUUGGGGAUAAUCUGUGAUGGCCCCAGGGCAUUGUUAUUGAUGAUAUUUGUGUGGUAGUAUGACCUUCUUGUGUGUGUCAUGCAUAUUGCGGGUUUUAUGGCAUUGUUUCCAAUGUGCUACUCGGUGUCUCUAAUUUUACCUGUUGACUUGAACUGUGAUAGUAAACUUGCACAAGCAUACACCGUAACAUGUAUCCUAUAUUAGUCCAAUAGUAUGAAAUUUUAUAUUUAUUUGUCAUGUACAUGUGUUCUUGUAUACAUGCCUUCUGUGCGUGGAUUGGACUGCUGGAACGUGAGUUGUCCGUGCGGAUAUGAAGUAUUGUUACUACUGGCACAUGAUUCAUUCAUGCAGAUCUAUGGUAUUAAUGGUAUUGGCAUAUGAGUGGUCCAUGCAACACGUGAGUUGUCCGUGCUGUUAUGAUUAGUAAUAUGGGCACGAGAUGCUGCAUGAUUAUGAUUCGUGAUUUGGGACCCGUGACAUGUGAUCAUGAGGUGUAGUACCCGGAUGUGAUUCUUGUGUAAACCUUGUGAAAGAACGGUUGAUUAUUUGGUUGUCAUUUGUUUUCUCAAAUUGGGGUCACUGGUACUUUAUUUAUGUUUUGAUUACUUUGCAGUGUUAUCACCUGUUUACUCCUUGUUGUUUCUACUUUCCAUUUGCUAGUGUUAUAUUGUUAUUCUUUCUAUGUUUAGCUUUAUAUUUAUAUUCAUUCCUCUGUUAGUUUAUAUUAAUACUUGCACAAGUUAUUAUGUCUAGUAGGUGUCUCGACAGUACCUCAUCACUACUCUACCGAGGUUUGUCUUGAUACUUACUUGGUACUACUGUGGUGCACUCAUGCUACGCUUCUGCACAUUUUUGUGCAGAUCCAGGUACCUCUAGGCGUGCCAGACUUUAUCUAGCUAUUGGAUAUUUGUUACAGAGACUUCAAGGUAUAUCUGCCACUACGCUAGCAGGACUCAGAUACACCUUCUAUAGCUUUACAUUGUUACUGUUUACUUAUAUUUCAAACAAUGAUGUAUUUGAUAUUCUUAAUUACUCUUAUAAAGGCUUAUGAAUACGUACUACCGAUUUUGGAAUAUUGUAAAUCUAUUGAUGAUUGUUGGCUAUGUAUGGCAAUUACUAAUUCAUCUUUAAUGGUUAAAUGGUUUAAAUCUAGUAAUAACUCAACAUGUGUUAGGCUUACCUAGUCUUAGGGAGUAGGUGCCAUCACGACUCCUAAGGAGGGAUUUUGGGUCGUGACAAGUUGGUAUCAGAGCCCUAGGUUCAUAGGUGCUACGAUUCAUAAGAAGGUUUAGUAGAGUCUUACAGAUCUGUGCGGAGACAUUUGUACUUAUCUUCGAGAUGCUACAAAACUAUUAGGAAACUUCACUUCUUUCAUUCCUAUCAUGUGAGUUUAUUGAUUUUUGGGUUUGAGCCUUGUCAUUCUAUUCUCUCACAGAUGGUGAGGACGCGAGCUGCAGACCUCGAUGAUGCUACCCGCAGAGCCGGUAUUGCCAGAGGCCGGUGCAGAGGUAGAGGCAGAGACAGAGGCCGAGGAGGAACACGUGCUACAGCUAGAGCACCUACCAGAGCAACAGCUAAGGAGCCACCAAUAGCUCCGAUUGGAGGACAGGCACCGGAGGUGCCUGUUGCUAUCCUCUGACUUCAGGAGACAUUAUAGAAGUUCUUGAGCAUGUUUGGUACAUUGGCUUGGGCGGGAUUGAUUUCGGUUGCCCCAGCUACUUCACUGACUGAGGGAGGAGCUCAGACUACCACCGACCGUACUCUAGAGCACCGAGUUCACAUUGAUCAGGUCGUGGGUGUCAUGUCAGCAUAACCCGUUAUUCUGGUUCAGCCUGAGGUCAGGCCAGAGGCAUCUGAGGAAGAGAAGAGGAGACUUGAGAGGUUCAAGAAGCAUGAUCCUCCUACUUUUAGUAGCACAACUAUCGAGGAUGCGUAGGGUUUCCUAGAGAAGUGUCACCGUAUUCUCUGCAUCAUGGGUAUUGUGGAGGUGAACAGAGUUGCUUUUACUACAUUUCAGUUGUUAGGAGCAGCAUAUCGGUGGUGGCAGCCUUACGAGGAGGGUAAUCCAGCUGAUGCAACCCCACUCACUUGGGCUCAGUUUUCAAAGAUAUUUUUUAGGGAGUUUGUUGCCUAAACCCUCUAGGAUGCGUGGCGCACAGAGUUCGAGCAGCUGUGCUAGGGCACGAUGACAAUGUUGGAGUAUGCCAUAAGAUUCAUCGAGUUGUCCAAACAUGCACUACCUUGGUUCCUAUAGUUAGAGAGUGAGUCCGUAGAUUUAUUGAGGGGCUAAAUUAUAGUGGUAGAUUCAGCAUGGCUCGAUAGUUGGAGACAGAUACUCCGUUUCAGCAGGUUGUAGAGAACGCUCGGAGGAUGAAUGGUAUGCGCCAUAAGAGGGAGGACAGGGAGGCUAAAAGGUCUCGCGGACCGGGAGGAUCUACUGAUCCCUCUUUUAGAGGUAGGGUACGUCAUGGUAGAGGUUUUGUGGGUCAGCCAGUUUAGUUUGCACUUCAGGCUUAACGUGGUUCUUUAGAUAUCCAUGGGUCCUAAAGUACCCGUACCAGACAUUAUCCACAACCACGUCAGCGGAUAUGCUGCUUUGAGUGUGGGGAUACCAGCCAUAUGGUGAGAGAUUGUCCCAUACUUUGGACAAGUGUGCCGCCGUAGAGUAUUUAGGCUAUGAGUUCCGCUCCAGUUACUGCUAUACCUGCACCGCCAGCUAGAGAGGGAAGCCAGGACCAUUGUUAUGCUUUUUCUGGUUGGACUGAGUCUGUUGCACCAAAUGAUAUCAGUACAAGUAUGGUUUCGGUUGGCUAUAGAUAUGCAUGAGUAUUAUUUUGAUCCGGUCACAUUUAUCGGUAAGCUUCAUCCUACCUUGCUUCGUAUAUGAUUGUGUUUCAUAAUUCUUAUACUCUUUUCAUCUGUUCAUGCUAGUUGGGGGAUUCUAUUAUGAUAACCCGUGUCUAUUAUUUUGGUUUGGUCGCUAUUGAGGGUCAUGAGGGUUAGGAGAACUUUCUGUUAGUUAAUGCAGUAGGUUUUGAUGUGAUUUAUGGGUGGCUUGGCCACGACUUGUGAUUUGGGUGCUCUACGGGUAGGGGAAGUCUGUUACAUGUUGUGGUUUUGGUUCAACGGGAUUGAGUUAGUAGAGUGUUUUAGUUGUUAAGAUGUUUAUCUUACUUGUGAUUCCGAGUGGAGGAUUGGGACCUGGUGUUCUUUGUGGAUAGGUGUAUUUAUACCGGGAUGUGUGCCGCAGUAAGGUUAUAUUGGGUUAAGAUUCGUUGUGGUUGUUAUGUGUGUCUUAUUUCUUCCUUGUGGAUUGGAUUCGUAGUAUGGUAUCAAUGAGAAGUCAUACCCGUUGGACUUGUUUGAUAGUUCUCUCAUAUGUUUCGUCUUUCAUGUUCAGUCAUAUUUGGGUUGUGCUUGUUAGGAUUGGAUUGCGUUGUAUGUGACCAAGUGGCAUUUGAUGUGGCUUGUUGGUCGGGUGAGUAGUUAUGAGUUUCACAUGUGUCUUGCAUCUUGAUCAGUGUUGGGAAGGUUUAGGACAAAGUUUUAGUCGAUAUGAGACUAUUUACCGGUACUGGGUUUGGUAAGGGGCAGCUAUUAUGGUCUGAAUUAUUGCUACGGGCAUAUGGCCGAUGUGUCAUGACGUGUGGUUAUACCUUGUGGAUGUAUGCAUUAGCAGUUAUAGCUAGUUGAGGAUUUUACAGUGUGUUUGUGUGAUAAUAGGUCUGUUGGUGGUUGUGGAAAUUUGAUUCUACGACUUAUUGGCAUGAGUGUACGGAAUAAUCUUUGGUUGGGAUGAUAUUUUUGGGCUUAUGUGGAUUAGGGUGACGUGGGAUCACCCGUGUGUACGUGUAUGGUCAGUUUAUAUAGUGAUUUGAUGGCUUGGGAAAGACUCUUGGUACGUUCGAGGAUGAACGUUUGUUUAAGAGGGGGAGGAUGUAAUGACCCGAUCUUGUCGUUUUGAGCUUUAGCGUUCCGUUCAGUGGUUCGAGGUCUUGAGAAGCUUCAUAUUGUGUAUUAUUUGCAUGUAUGGUCGGAUUCGAUUUUUGGAUAUUUCGGGAAUGAUUUGGAUGAGUGAUUCUCAUUUUAGAAGCUUAAGUUGGAAGUAUUGACUGAGGUUUGACUUUUGUGAAAACGACCCCGGAAUGGUGUUUUGAUGGCUCCGAUAGGUUCCUACCGUGAUUGUUGGACUUGGGCGUAUGCCCAAAAUUGAAUUCGGAGGUCCCUAGAUUAAUUUGGCUUGUUUUGUUGAGAGUUGGCAAUUUGAAGUUUUAGAAAUUCCUUAGAUUUGACUAUAUUUUGACUUUAUGGCUAUCGGGUUCGGAUUUAAGUUUUGGGACUUGGAAUUGAUCCGUUAUGUUAUUUGGAACUUGCCUACAAAGUUUGGCAUCAAUCCGAGUUGAUUUGAUAGGAAUCGGACCCAUAGUUUUGUUUUUGGAAGUUCUUGAGUUUCUAUGUUAAUUUUAUGUGUUUUAAUGUUCGAUUCGUGGUUCCAGAUGUUAUUUUGGUGUUUUUAUCGUGCGAGCGAGUUCAUAUGAUAUUUUUAGACUUGUGUGAAUGUUUGGUUUGGAGCCUCGAGGGCUCUAGUGAGUUUCAGAUGCAUUUUAGAGUGUUUGAAGAGUUUUAGUGUUGCCAGUUUUUGAACUGGUGGUGCAGGUCUCACAAAUUGGAGAUUUUGUUCGCAUUUGCGAGGCGGGAGUUGCAUUUGCGAAGAUCACUAGAGUCUUUCAGGUUCGCAUUUGCAAACCCAAUGUUCGCUUUUGCAAUAGGAGCCUGGGUUAGCCCGGGUCGCAUUUGUGAUAGCCAUCGUUGCUUUUGCGAUAUGUUCCAUGCUCGCAUUUGCAAACUUAUUGUUAGAUUAGUCAUUUUUGUUUAGAUUUGAGCCGUAUGGAGGCGAACAUCAGGGGAAAAGCUAUUUUCGAGUGUUGAUUUGGCCUAAUUGAGGUAAGUAUCUUGCCUAACCUUUUGUGGGGGAACUACCCCGUAGAGAUUGGUUUGAUUGCACUAUUUGAAUUACAUGGAAGACAUGUAUACGAGGUAACGAGUGUUUAUAUGUCCUUAUAUAUGGAAAUUUGACCGAUUUAGACUCUGAAGCUCUUUCAUGCAUCUAACUCAAGUUGCCCUAUCAUGUUAUAUCCUCCAUGGUUAGAUUUACUCUUAUAUGUUUUAUUUGAAGUUGUUAGUACAUGUUCUAUCUUUUAUUGUCAAAUAUACUCUUAUAUCCUUUAAUUGAAGUUGUUGCCUCUUUUAUUGACAUGUUAUUUCUUCCAUUGUUGGUUUAUUCUUAUUUGAAGUCGUUGUUACAUUUUGUCUCUCUCAUUGUUGAGUUAUUCUUAUUUGAAGUCAUUAUUACACGUCCGAAACUCACCCUAGUCCUCGGGGGAUCCAAACCAAACACCCACACAAGUUUAAAAACAUCAUACAAACUCGCUUGCCCGAUCAAAAUACAAAAAUAACAUCUAGAACUACGAAUCAGACAUCAAAACGCAUGAAUUUCAAAUAAAAACUCAAGAACCUCUAGAAUUGCAACCAAGAGUCCGAAUCCUAUCAAACCAACUCCAAAUGACACCAAAUUUUGUAGACAAGUUCUAAAUAGAAAAAUGGACUUAUUCCAAGUCCCAAAACAAAAUUCCUAACCCGAUAGACAAAAAGUCAACCUAUGAUCAAACUUCAAAAAACUUCUAAACCUUCAAUUGCCAACUUUCGACAAAACAUGUCAACUCAACCUAAGGACCUCAGAAUUCGAUUUCGGGCAUACACGCAAGUCCAAAAUCACAAUACAAACCUAUUGGGGCUAUCAAAAUAUCAUUCCGGGGUCAUUUCCAUAAAAGUCAAACUUUGGUCAACAUUUCUAACUUAGGCUUCUAAACCAAGAACCAAAAGGUCCAAAUCAACCCAAAUCCUUCCUAGAACGAAACUAACCAACUACGUAGGUCGUAAAACCCCAAAAUACAUAUAUGUAAAGCAUCAAAAGGGGACCCAGGGCUCAUAUACACAAAAUGUCCGGUCGGGUCGUUACAUUUAUUGGCCCAUUUACGAUCUUGGAGAGAGUUGGGGAGGUUGCUUAUAGGUUCGAAUUGCCUCCUAGCCUACCUGGGGUACAUUAAGUAUUUCAUAUUUUCAUGCUUCGAAAGUACCAUGAGGAUAGGUCACAUGUUUUAGACUUCAACAUGGUGCAACUUGAAUAGAAUUUGACUUUUGAGGAAGAGCUGGUGGCUAUUAUAGUCCGGCAAGUUCAAAAGUUAAGAUCUAAAGAUAUUCCUUCGGUGAAAGUGCAUUGUAGAUGUCAAACAACUGAGGAGGUUACUUGGGAGAUCGAGUCCGAUAUGAGGAGUAGUUAUCCUCAUCUUUUUACUAGCCCAGGUACAUUUUUAUUUUCAUUUGAGGACGAACGUUUGUUUUAGAGGUGGAGAAUGUGAUGACCCGAUAGGUUAUUUUGAGUUCUUGCUCCCCUUUUUAUAAUUUGAGACAUCUCAUAGCACUAUUUGAUAAUUUAUGACUUGCGUGCAUGGUCCGUGUUGAUUUGUGGAAAAGUCUAAAUGUGAAAUUUUAAAGAAAAUGCGAUUUUUGACUUUGGAAUGGUUAGAGUUGACUAUGAUUAAUAUUUUUUGUAAACGACCUCGGAUUGAUAUUUUGACGGUUCCUCUAGGUUCAUAUGAUGAUUUUGAACUUGUACGCAUGUUUUGUUGGGGUCUCGGGUGACCCAAGGCCGUUUCGACGCUUUAUGUAGAAAGUAGGAAAUUUGAGUUUGAACUUUGAAAAAUCUAAAGUUCUGGAGAUCAAUUCUUGAUUCUAGAUGUUAUUGUGAUGAUUUGAGCUUACGAGUGAUUCGUUUAGAAUUAAUGGGCUCAUGUGAGUUUCUGAUAGGCUGCAAACUAUUUUGGAAUAGCUGAAGAGUUCUUGGUGUUGCUGGGCUGCAGAUCUCACAUUUGCGAGGAUUAGUUCGCAAAUGCGAGCCUCAGAUUUGCGAGAGCUUGCUCGCAUUUGUGAUAUUGGGUAGGGGAUGACAGCUUUGCUUUUGUGAAGUUUAAUUCACAUCUGCGAGUGGUCCAGCCUUCGCAGUUGCGAAGUUCUUGUCGCAAUUGCGAUUGGAGUAGGGACAACUUCGCAUUUGCGAUCAUUAUAUGUUAUUUGCGAUAUUGGAUGAUCAUGGCUGGUUUGCUAUUGCGACCAGCUAUUUGCAUUUGUGGACGUCAAAAUUGCAAAUAAGAGUUCACAAUUGUGAUACCUGAAGGUGGGUAAAAGAUUGGGAUUUCGGGACUUAGCUCAUUUUACUCCAUUUUUGAGACCUAGACUCCACAUAGAGACGAUUUUGGGGAGCAAAUUCUUGCCAACUUCACCGGUUAGCAAUCUUAACUUGUUCUUGUCCAAUUUCUAUUACUUUUCAUGAAUUUUCACUAUCUAAUCUAUGAUUUUAUAGAGUAGAAAUUGUGGUUUCGGUUAGAAAUUAGGAAUUUAUAAAAUUGAGAUUUAGACCUCAAAUUGAGGUCGGAUCUCGAAACAAAUCACAUAUCUAGACUCGGGGGUGAAUGAGUAAUCGAGAUUUGAUAUUAAUUUAGGAUUACGACCACGUGGGCCCGGGUUGACUUUUCUAGUUAUGUUAAAGAUCAAACUUUUUUGUAUGAGUGUAGUUUCUAAAGCUUGUUUUGACUUAUUUGAGAAAUAUUUAAUUAGAUUUGGGUAGUUUGGAGGUUUGUUCUAAAGGGAAAGCCGUAUUGGAUUGUUGAUCUUGUUGCGAAAAGAGGUAAUUAACCUUGAUUUAAGGUAAUUCAGGUAUGAUUAGUCUAUUUGCUAUGCGAUCUAUGUGUGGGACGACGUAUACACAAGGUGACGAGUGUAUAUCUGUUAUCGUGGACUUAUGCGGGGUGUAUCAUUUUAUUUCAUGUCUUUAAUUAUACCAUGUCUUACUUAAUUCAUGUUCUUACUUGUUAGGUGGUCUUACUUGAUACAUGUUUUAUUUGAUAUAUGUGUCUUCACUUGUUACAUAUCCUUAAUUGUUACACGUUCUAGCUUAUUUCAUACUUUUAGUUAUUGUACGCCUUUAUUUAUUAUAUACUCUUACAUGUUAUUAGACAGAUGUAUUUUACCCGUCUCAUGCCUUUACUUUCCUUAUUGCCUUUACUUGUUUCUUAUUUCACUCUACCAUGUUAUAUCAGUUUGUGUGAUCUUUAGAUUGUUCUCGUGUUUAUGACUUGUUGAAGUUCUUGUUGACAUAUGUUUGACCUUCUUUGUUUAUGUUCAUAUUUCCUUGGUGAAUUAUGAGUUUUAGUUAUUGGGACCGGGUUGUGCGUCGUAAAGGCAUUGUUAUUGCUAUUGGGAUCUAGCGGCGCGCUGCAACAAUGUUAUUAUUGUUAUUGUUAUUGGGAUCGGGUUACACGCCACAUCACAAAGGAUGUCAUGUAGUUGUUCUUGGUUGUUAUGCUCCAUCACCGUGUUGUGAUACGAGGUUGUGAUGUGAUGUUAUUUUGGGGCCUUCUGUUAUCUACUUCAUUAUUCUGUUCGUUAUUUAGUUAUUCAUUUGUCUAUAUUAUUAUUACUUUUCUGCUUAUUACUCAUACAUGUUUAAAGUUAGUGUCUUGCCAUAGCCUCGUCACUACUUAGUCGAGGUUAGGCUCGAUACUUACUGAGUACAUGGGGUCAAUUAUACUUAUACUACACUUCUGUACUUCUUAUGCAAAUCUCGAUGUUGGUCCCAGCAGCGUUCAGAGGUGAUUGUUCGGACCUUUCCCAGGAGACUUGAGGUAGUGCUAUUUGGCGUUCGCAGACCCUAGAGUUCCCUUCCUAUCUUUAUCUACUAUUUAUUAUAUCAGACAAUUUUAUAUUUUUCAUUUCAGACUUUUAUUUAGCUCUACUAGUGGCUCAUGUACUUGUGACACCAGAUUCUGGGGAUAGUCUUAGACAACGAUGGUUGUAUACCUAUGAUACGUUUUAUGCACUAUCACUCUUUUAUCAUUAUUAAUAUGUCUUUAGCUAUUAAUCUGCUUUAAUUAUUGUGCUAAUGUUAGCUUUCCUAGCAAGCGGAUGUUAGGUGCCGUCACGUCCCCAUGGUUGGGAUUUUGUGUCAUGACAGUUCGUCCUUGAAUGGGUUUAAAAAUUUAGGCCAUCAAACAAGUGCAGGUAUCUACGAUGCAUGUCUGACUCGGUCUCCCAAGUCGCCUCCUUACUCGGUUGGUCCUUCUAUAACAUUUUUCCUGAAGCGAUAUCUUUUGACUUUAGCUUUUGGACUUGCCUCUCUACAAUGCCCAAUGACUCAUCCUCAUAAGCCAAGUUUUCAUCCAAUUAUUGUAUUGAAUUUCAAAUUAUGCGACUUGUCAUCAUUGUACUUCCAAAUCAUGGAUACGUGAAAUACCAAAUGUACUUGCAAUAGGCUAGGAGGUAAGGCAAUCUCAUAAACCAACUUUUCAACUCUCUUUAGAACCUCAAAUGGGCCAAUGAACCUCAGACUCAACUUGCCUUUUAAAAAAAUAUUUCAUCACACCCUUCAGGGACAAAAAUAUUAAUAAUACUUUCUCACCCUCCAUGAAGACCACGUCAUGAAGCUUCUGGCCCGCAUAACUCUUUUACAUACUCUGAGUUGUGCAAAGUCGCUCCUGAAUUAACUCGAACUUUUCCAAGGCCUCUGUACUAAAUCUAUACCUAAUAACCUAGCCUAACCAAGCUCCAGGCUCAAAUCAACCAACUGGAGAAUGAUAUUAUCUAUAAUAUAGAGCCUCAUACGGUGCCAUGUGAAUGUUAGAUUGAUAACCGUUAUUAUAAGCAAAGUUGGCCAAAGGUAAGAACUAAUCCAAAUAACGUCCAAAAUUAAUCAUACAUGUCCUCAACAUGUCCUUGAGAAUCUGGAUAGUCUGCUUGGACAGACCAUCAGCUUGUGGGUAAAAGGUUGUGCUAAGCUUAAACUAUGUGGCCAACUCACACUUUACAACUCUCUAGAAGUGCGACAUGACUGUGUACCCCGGUUUGAAAUAAUGGAAAUGGGCAUUUCAUGCAAACGAACUAUCUCAAGAUAUAUAAAUUUGUGCUAGCUUCUGAAAAAAGUGAGUAGUCAAGACUGGUAUGAAAUGUGCAGACUUAGUCAAUCUAUCAACUACGACCCAAACUGUAUCAAACAUCCUCAAAGUAUGUGGUAAACCUACCAUAAAGUUCAUAGUGAUGUAAUCCCACUUCCACUCAAGUAUAACUAUCUUUUGAGUGGAACCUCCUAUUUCUGAUGCUCAUAUUUGAUCUAUUGGCAAUUCAAACACCGUAAAAUAUGCCCAACAAUAUUUUUCUUCAUUGUACACCACCAAUAGUGAUGUUUCAAGUCAUGAUACAUCUUUGCAGCCCUAGGAUGAAUAGAAUACCUUAAAAUGUGAGCCUCCUCAAGUAUCAAGCACCUCACAUCACCAACAUUAGGCACAUAAAUUUGACCCCGAAGGAACAUAACACCAUCUUCACCAGUAAUAACCUUCUUAGAACCACCUCGCUGCACCAUGUCCUUAAGUAUGAGUGAAUGUGGAUCAUCAUAUCAGUGUGCAUUAAUUCACUCAAAUAACAAUGAUUGGGCAAUAACACAAGCAAGAGACUUGCUUGGCUCAGAAAUACCUAAUCUCACAAAUCUAUUAGCUAAUGCCGGAACAUGCACAACCAUAAGACCCUCCUCAAUUGGUAUAUAUUCCAAAAUACCCACACUCUUCGCCUUCCUAGAGUGAUACAAGAUAAUGAUGUCAUAAUCCUUAAGCAACAUAAUCUGCCUCUAUCAUUUCAAAUUCAAGUCUUUUAGUUUGAUGCUGAAGGUUAUGACGAUCAAUUUAAAUUUCACAAGACACUCCAUACAAGUAAUGCCUCUAAAUCUUCAAUGCAAAUAUAAUUUUCGCUAACUCUAGGUCAUGGGUAGGAUAAUUCUUCUUAUUUACCUUCAUUUGCCAUGAUGCAUAAGCGAUCAUUCUUACAUCAUGCACCAAUGCACUUCCAAGACCAAUGCGCAAAGAAUCACAUUACAUUGUGUAAGUGAUUGUACCUGUAGGUAAUACCAAAGCUGGAGCUGAAGUUAAUAGGAUCCUAAAAUUUUGAUAGCUCUCCUACACUCAGUAGAACAUCUCAAAGGAACACCUUUCUGAGUCAACUUAGUCAAUGGAGUUAUGAUGGAUGAAAGUCCUUCUACAAAAUAACAGUAAUAACCCGCCACACUUAGGAAACUCAGAAUCUCACUAGGCGUAGUAGGUCUAGGCCAAUUCUGCACUACCUCAAUCUUCUUAGGAUCAACCUUAAUACUUUUUAAUUGCAGGAUAUGACCCAAGAAUGCAACUAUAUCAAGCUAAAACUCAUACUUGGUGAACUUAGCACAAAGCUUACGUUCCCUCAAAAUGUGAAUCAAAACCCUUAAAUGUUGCUCAUGUUCCUCUCUACUGUGUGAAUACAUCAAGAUUUCUUCAAUAAACAUAAUAAAAAUAAAUUAAAAUAGGGCUUGGAUACUUGAUUUAUCAAAUCUAUGAAUACUGUUAAGGGAUUAAUCAUCCCAAAGGACAUAACAAGAAACCCAUAAUGCCAUAAUGGGUCUUAAAAGUUAUCUUAGAGAUAUUAGAAGCCCUAAUCUUCAAUUGAUUGUAACCAGACCUCAAUUCAAUCUUAGAGAAAAUCUUGACAACAUGAAGCUGAUCAAAUAAAUCAUCUAUGCGAGGCAAUGAAUACUUGCUUUUAAUGGUAAUCUUACUCAGCUAUCGAUAGUCAAUACACAUCUGCAUCAAACCAUCCUUCUUAUUCAUAAAUGUCAUCAGUGCACCCCAAGGAGAAACACUUGGCCUAAUGGAUCACUUACUCAAUAAAUCUUGCAAUUGUUCUGUUAACUCCUUCAACUCAACUGAAGCUAUAUGGUAUGGUGGCCUACAUAUGGGCUAGUGCAUGCUACCAAAUUAGAGCCAAAAUCAAUGUUCUUGUUAGGUAGAAUACCUUGCAAAUUUGUAAGAAACACAUCCAGAAACUCUCUUACAACUAGUACCGAAUCAAGAUUAGGAGUGUCAGUACUAGUCUCGAAUGAAAGGUAGAUAAGUUAGACAUCCCUUCUCCACCAUAUACUGUGCCUUUAAGAACGAAACCAUUUUACUCUUGGAGAGACUAAGUAUCCCCUUCCAUUCCACUCUAGGCAACACCUGCGUAGCCAAAGUAACUGUCUUGGCAUAAGAAUCUAAAAUAGCAUGAUAUAGAGAUAACCAAUCUAUAACAAGAAUAACUUUAAAGUCCACCAAAUUCAAUAAAAAUAGACCCACCAAUGUGUCAUACCCAUUAAUAGAAAUAACAAAAAAACCAGUAAACUUGAUCAAUAACUAUAAAAUCCCAGAUCCAUGCUGAUAUAUAAACAGAAAUAUCAGUUGGCUCACGAGGCAAUGUGAUGCAAAAUGAGAUGACCAUAGGAAUAAGUAAAUUUAGGGUCAAAUAAUGCCGCAACAUCCCUAUGACAAAUUAAAAUAAUACCUAUGAUGACCUCAUCAGAUGCAACUAUCUUUGGCCUGUCCGAAAAAGCAUAAGAAUUUGCUUGGCCUCCCCUAGCCUGACCUGCAGCUCUAGAAUGAUCUCUCCUAGGCUGGGCACCACCCGUAUAUAGUUGCAUAGGUAAUGAAGAAACUAGAGCCUUGACAAUAUCUUGAGUGCCCUAUUGAGGUGUACCACUUUGUGGUCUAGGUAAAUUCUUCUUAAUAUGCCCCAUCACACCGCACUAAAAGCAACUUCUACACUGACGAGGCUGCUAAGACUAUAUUUGAUGACCAAAAUAUCCAUUGAAAGGACCCUACCUCGCAAGCAUACUGUAAAUACCCUAAACGAAGGUGUGCUAUAAGAAAAUUGCUCCAUAAGAGUACCCCACUAUAUCAUGGUGGAGUACCAUGUGAAGUCUAGAGUGCUGACUGAACAUGCCUACGUUGAUGAUCUCUGCUAUAAUAAUUCUUGCCUCCAUGCGAGGCACCAUUGAAACCGCUUAAGCCAUGAGUCUUCUUGACCUCUCGCACCUCUUUUUAUCCUUUCCGCGGAUAUGCUCAAUCCUCAUUAUAAUCUCCACAACCUGACUAAAAGUAAUCCUUAUCUUGGUCUCUGGUAAUGCCGAAAACACACCUCUAAUAAAGAAGUCAAACGAUCAUUGCAAUAAUAACCCAACUAAGAGACAGGGUCGGACCACAAAGAGUUUUAUGUAGGUAGUAAUGUAGGUACCUAAGAGUGAGACCACUUAUAUCUUAAAUUAACUUUCAAUCAAAGGUUGGAGUCACUAAGUGUAUCAUUUACGCUAACUAUUAUCUAAGAGACAGUUCAACUAACACGUAAGAAGCAAGAAUUAACUAGGAGAAGUACUUGUAUAAUUAAAGGCCUACGGUGUUCAGCUAGAUUGGUACAGUCUACUAAGAUUGAUUAGAUGAUUGGGGAUAUUAUGAUACAUACUCUAGUUUACCCACUUGAUGUUUCUUAACUAAUGAGUGGGCUAAUUCAAAUUCUCUCCCAAGUAAAUAAAAUUACAUUAAGCUUAGGUAUUGUUGUAUCCAAGUCAAGAGAUCCCUAUCUCUGGUUCACUCCAUUAAUUAUGCCUAAGAUAGCUCACAAUUAGUCUAAUUCCUUGUUAGCCAGAUUACCCAAACUCAUCUCGUCUUUCUCAAGUAAGAGUCAACUAAAAAGGGAAAAAAUCAAUGUUUGCAACUACUAAUUCUCAAUUUUAGCAUAAAAAUGGCUAAAUAAUACAUAACCCAAUCUUAGACAACGUCACGCCCCAUUCCAAUAACCAUGUUGAACUCGUCUCUUCUCACCUUAAUCUACAAUAAUGAUAAUAAUACUAUCAUUAAGUUACAAAAGGUACAACUAUCGCACAACGGACGACAAGCUUAUUUUAUAUUAAACCGGGCAGCAUAUCCCCUAUAAUAUUUACUUCCUUCCAAUUCGAGACAACACCAACAACAUAAAAAUACAACAAUAACAAAAUAUAUACAUCAUUUUCCAACCUUAUAUCCAUCAUAAAUUACCACAAAAUAGCCCAACAUACCCCAAUCUCUUCAUAUGCAAAACGACCACUAUAGUAGUGUCAAACAAUCCGAAAAUGUUACUACGAACGACCAGCCCACCACACUAGAUUUAUGUGAUGUUUAUCCACACCCAUUCUCCUCCAAAACUCCCUAAAAUUGUAGCAAAACACGCAAUCCAACAGCAACACAAAACAACCCACAAAACAGUUCACUACAAAUUGAAUAACUUGAAAUCAGGGCUUCCGAUCACUGUCCCCUGAGUUCUUACAAUUAUAGAACGACAUUCCAUACAUUUCCAGCAGAAACAAUGGAUGAAAGAGAGCAUUAUAAUUACCUUAUUUGGUGAAUAUCUCAGCUCCUAACUUGGUCCUUCAACCCUUAGGUUUUUCUCCAACUAGAAGUUGAAAAGAAGAGAAAAUCAUUUAGGAUUUGUGUUGAAAUUUUUGGGGGAAUGUUUGUAGGGGCUUAUCUCUUGUUAUUUGCUAUAUGAUGAGUGUAAUAAUUGCAGGAAAUAAGACCUUAAAAGGUCUCUUUGGAUGACCCAAAAUAGAUCCCCUUUUGGACAUAUUUAGUCCUCUCAUUUGAGCAAGUAGGUGACACACCUACUUAUCACCUAGCAGUCUACACAGUCUCGCAAAAAUGCAUAUAUCCCACUACUCCGAUGUCGUAUUGACAAACGAUUUAAUAAUUUAGCAAAUAGACUCAUAGAUCUUCAAUUUGAUGGGCGGAUCACCUCGUAACUCUAAGUAAAUUGGGAGAAAAUCACAGUGACUGACAUUUGACCCAAAUUUCAGUAAAACUUAUGAACAUAACUUGUGAUGACUUUCAUCGACUUUUGUUCCACAACACGCUUGACUUCAAAACUUAAUACAUGACUAUCAUAAGAAUAAAAUAAAUCAUAAAAUAACCCUCUUAUCAUGUUAAGAGCCCUUGUCUCACCCUAAAGGUAUGGGUUAUAACAUUCCCAACUUGUCGACUUUCGACGAACCAUUAUUUUCUUCAGUUCGUUUUGCUUCUGAACCUUCCAACCCUCUUUGUACUUGUUGUUCAUGAUCUUCAAUAUUUGUAACCUAUGAGGUAACAUGAUAAAUUACUUUAUAUACUUUCAAAGAUGAUCUUAUUUUUGGUCUUAUAUUAGUUUGCUAACGACGCACGUUUACGUACAAAAAUAUGGGGUGGAACAUCAUUCCCCUCUUAGGAACAUUCAUCCUCGGAUGUUUACUCUUAGAGAAUUUGAAAAUUUUUGCCAGAGUCUGCCCCGUACACUAGACUAAAACCAACCUGUACGUAGCUAGAAAACAUACUAUGCAUGCCAUACAUGGCCAAUGUCCAUAAAGCAACACUUGGCCUCACCCAACCGUCAAUCAUAAAUACUGAAAGUAAAAAAUUAGAGCUUACCUGAUGACCCACUGGCCUGAAUAGAGUUGUGUUGAAGUAUCCCAUCUCGAGCCAUAUCUUCAGUUUCAAAUAGGUGGUGGUAUUUAGACUUUAUUUCUUCCUCCGCUUCCCACGUCAUCUCUUCCAUAUUCUUGCUUCUCCAAUAAACUUUCACGGAGGCUACCUCCUUAUUUUGAAGCUUGCAGAUUUGUCGCUCUAGGAUGGCAACUGGAACUUCCUCGUACUAAAAGUCCGCCGUGAUCUGUAUAUCAUCAGUGGGCACCACUCGAGUAGGAUCCCCAAUGCAAUUUCGUAGCAUAGAUACGUGAAAAACUGGAUGGACAGACUUUAAUUUCGAGGGCAAAUCUAACUCAUAAGCUACUCGACCCGCUCUAUGAAUAAUCCUAUAAGGCCCAAUAUACCGUGGGCUAAGAUUGCCUUUCUUGCCAAACCUCAUCACGCCCUUCAUAGGCGACACCUUUAAGAAUACCCAGUCAUCAACCCCGAACUCUAAGUCUCAUCGCCGCACGUCAGAAUAUGACUUCUAAUGAAUCUGAGCUGUGAAUAGUUGCUCCUGGAUAAACUUUACUUUCUCUACGGCCUGCUGAACCAAGUCUAGCCCAUGUAACCCCUAUUCUCCAAUAUCAAACCACCCUAUAGGAGAUAUGCACUUACGCCCAUACANNNNNNNNNNNNNNNNNNNNNNNNNACAUAUCCUCAAGCAUCUAAAUUGUGCACUUGGCUUGUCUAUCAGCCUGUGGAUGAAAAGUUGUGCUGAGAUUCACCUGAGUCCCAAGACCUCUCUGAAAUGACCUCCAGAAAUGUGCUGUAAAUUAGGCCUCACGGUCAGAUAUAAUAGAUACCGGUACUCCGUGUAGCCGCACUAUCUCCUUAAUAUAUAACUUCGCAUAAUCUUCUGCUGUAUAUGUAGAUCUGACCGGUAGGAAAUGGACUGAUUUCGUGAGCCUAUGGACUAUCACCCAUAUAGAAUUGAACUUACGAUGAGAAUGAGGCAAAACCGUGACAAAGUCCAUGUUUAUCAUCUCCUAUUUCCACGUCGGGAUCUCUAUAGUCUGAAUUAGCCCUCUGGGCUUCUGGUGCUCUACCUUCACUUGCUGGCAAUUAGGACACUGGGCGACAAAAUCAACAAUGUUCUUCUUCAUAUCAUUCCACCAGUACACAUCCUUAAUGUCAUGAUACAUCUUCUUCGACCCAUGAUGAAUGGAGUACCACGAAUAAUGUGCCUCUAAUAUUAUCCUAUCUCGUAGCCCUGCUAUAUCUGGGACACACAGACGACCCCUAUAUCUGAGAACCCCAUCUUCCUUGAUCUCUAACAACAACUUCUUCUACUGCAAAACUCGCUCUCUCAACUCUACCAACUAUGGGUCCUCGUACUAUCUUUCCUAUACUUCAUCUAUGAGAGAUGAUUUUGCAGUGUUUUGGAGGAGAACUUCACCAUCGUCAGAAUCUACUAACCGAACCCCCAAACAAGACAAUUUGAUGAAGAUCUCUAGCUAAUUCUCUUUUCUCAGCCUCUACAUGUUCUAAGCUAUUCAUAGACCGAUGACUUAACACAUCACCUACAAUAUUAGCUUUCCCUAGAUGGUAGAGAAUGUUAACAUCGUAAUAUUUCAAUAACUCUAGACAUCGCCUCUGUCGCAAAUUCAACUCCCUUUGCUUGAAGAUAUAUUGCAGGCUUUUUAUGAUAUGUAAAUACAUCCACAUGGACACCAAAUAAAUAAUGUCGCCAUAUCUUAAGUGCAUGGACAACCACAUAUAGCUCGAGGUCGUGGGUCAGAUAAAUCCUCUCGUACUUCCUCAAUUGACUUGAAGCAUAUGCAAUUAUCUUCCCAUGUUGCAUCAGGACAUAUCCUAACCCGACACCUGAGGCAUCAAAAUACAUGGCAUAAACCUCUGGACCCUCUGGAAGUGUUAGAACUAGCGCUGAGGUCAACCUGUUCUUAAGCUCUUGGACACUUCGGUCGCAAGCCUCUGUCCACUAAAACUUAGUUGCUUUCUGUGUCAGCUUCUUCAAUUGUGCCGAAAGGGAAGAAAAACCCUCUACGAACCUCCGCUAGUAUCCUGCUAAGCCUAGAAAGCUACAAACCUUUGUCGGAGUGGUAGGUCUAGGUCAGGAUUUCACGGCCUCAAUCUUCUGAGUGUCUACCUUUAUACCUUCAUCAGAUACAAUAUGCCCCAAGAAUGCUACAGACUUCAACUAGAACUUAUAUUUAGAAAACUUAGCAUACAAUUUAUGAUCAUAGAGGGUUUGGAGUAUCGCUCGUAGGUGGUCCGCAUGCUCCUCCUCUGAACGUGAAUAAACUAGAAUAUCAUCAAUAAAUACUAUCACGAACAGAUCUAACAAUGACCAGAAUACGCUAUUCAUCAAGUCCAUAAAUAUGACAGGUGCAUUUGUCAACCCGAAGGACAUGACAAGGAACUCAAAGUGGCCAUAUCGGGUCCUGAAGGCUGUCUUCGAAAUAUCUUUCUCCCGAACUCUGACCUGGUGGUACCCCGACCUCAAAUCUAUCUUUGAAAUGCAUCUAGCCCCCUGCAACUGAUCAAACAAGUCAUCGAUCCUUGGAAGUGGAUACUUAUUCUUAAUAGUUACCUUGUUCAGUUGCCUAUAAUUGAUACACAUCCUUAGCGAGCCGUCUUACUUCCGCACAAAUAGUAUCGGUGCACCCCAAGGUGAGGUACUGGGCCUGAUAAAACCUUUCUCCAACAAAUAUUUUAACUGCUCCUUCAACUCCUUCAAUUCGGCAGGUGCCAUUCUAUACGGAGGAAUGGACAUUGGUUGAGUUCCUGGAAGCAAAUCGAUGCUAAAAUCAAUCUCUCGCUCUGGAGGAAUACUUGUAAGCUCAUCUGGAAACAUAUAUAUGUACAUUCUGACUACUGGAAUAGACUGAAGUGUAGGUAUCUCAGCAUCGGUAUCUCUAACUCGCACAAUAUGAUAAAUGAACCCUUUUGCGAUCAUUUUCCUUGCCUUCAGAUAAGAAUUAAACCUACCUCUAGGUGUUGCUGUAUUACCUACCCAUUUAAGGACUGGCUCACCCAAAAAAUGAAAUCUGGCUGCCUUUACUCGGCAAUCAACUGUGGCAUAGUAAGCUGCCAACCAGUCCAUGCCCAAGAUAGCAUCAAAAUCCAUCAUCUCUAGCUCAAUUAGAUCGGCUGAGGUAUGACGACCAACAAACUAUCACCUUAUGACCUCACUAAACCCGUCUAGAAAUAAUCGGUUCUCCGACGGGUAUAGAUGCCACAAAAAGAUCACAUAGUAUUUCAGGCACUAUACCAAACUUCCCCGCGACAAAUGGGGUAAUAUAUGAUAAAGUAGAUCCUGGGUCUAUCAAGGCAUAAGCAUCGUGAGAGAAAAUGGUCAAUAUACCUGUCAUAACGUCCGGUGAAGACUCCUGGUCCUGUCGACCCGCUAAAGCAUAGAUACGGUUCUGAUUACCACCUGAACUGGAACCUCUAUCAAUUGAAGACUGAGACUCGCGCCUUAAGGAUGCACGAACAUAGAUGAUCCUAUUGCUGUACUCGUUGGUUAUUCCAUACCCCCAGAAUCUCUAUUUGGGAAAUAUUGCAUCAUAUGCCCCAAACGCCCACAUGUAUAACAAGCGUAGGAACCUGCUCGGCAUUGGCCCAAGUGUCCUCUACCACAAAUGUCACACUGCGGCGAAAAUGACCAUGUCUUCCCUAAACCUCAUUGUCGCUGCAAACCCGGCACCCGAGAGCUCUCUCCUGGUCCUGACUGAGCAUAGCGGUCAUACCUGUAACCCUGUAACUAAGGCAGUGGAGGCCUAGGUAGCCAUCCAAAGUACUGGGGCCUAUAACUACCCUGAGACUGCUCUUGAUACCUAGCAAAUCUCAUCCUCUUAUGCUGCCCUUGCUCACUCCUCUUUGUACCCUGCUACCGAUGCCUGCCCCUUUCUAUAUUCUAGGAGAAUGCCUGAAUCCGGGUGAUAUCCAUACUAUCCUACAAUGCAAUAGUGACACAUGCCUCGGUCAAUACUUGGGUCAACCCUGCUAUAAGCCUAUGGAUCCUAUCCCGUAUAGUAGCAACUAUGGAUAGAGCAUAUCUGGCCAAUGAGUCAAAACAAAGACUAUACUCUCGAACACUCAUACUUCCCUGCUUGAGGCUAGAAACUGAUCGACUCGAGCCUGUCGGAUCUCCCACGGUAAGUACUGGUCAAGGAAGGCAUAUGAAAAAUUCUCCCAAAUAGCUGGAGGUGUAUCAUGUCCCCUGGACCUCUCUCAUCCCUCAUACUAAAGGACAACUAUAUCUCAGAGUUGAAAAGCUGCCAGGUCAACUGCCUCUUUCUCCGUGGCAUGUAUAACCCAAAAGAUCUUGUGAAGAUGAUCUAUGAAAUCUUGCGGGUCUUCCCUUUGAUCUAUCCCCGUGAACUCUGGGGGACUCAAGANNNNNNNNNNNNNNNNNNNNNNNNNNNNNNNNNNNNNNNNNNNNNNNNNNNNNNNNNNNNNNNNNNNNNNNNNNNNNNNNNNNNNNNNNNNNNNNNNNNNNNNNNNNNNNNNNNNNNNNNNNNNNNNNNNNNNNNNNNNNNNNNNNNNNNNNNNNNNNNNNNNNNNNNNNNNNNNNNNNNNNNNNNNNNNNNNNNNNNNNNNNNNNNNNNNNNNNNNNNNNNNNNNNNNNNNNNNNNNNNNNNNNNNNNNNNNNNNNNNNNNNNNNNNNNNNNNNNNNNNNNNNNNNNNNNNNNNNNNNNCACUCGCUGUUGUGUCUCUCCUUUGACUAGACGUAGUCUUCCUUAUCACCUUCAUCUCUGUAUGCAAACACCAAUAUGUAAGUUUAACUCAAAUUUCCUAUAAUUCAGUUCUACAACACGAUUUAGAUUUGAAAUGAGGGUAACCAACUCCUAAAUGCCGUGUAGUUCCCUAUUUAUAUAAUGUGGUGCACAACACAUCUAUAAACAAGGCCCUACUAGACACGGAUUGUAGACUCCCUAGGAUAGAACUGCUCUGUUACCAAGUUUGACACGCCCCAAACCGGGAGGGGGGGGGGGGCGAGACCGGCAACCGAUGCCUCACUUAACCGAGCGUACCAACUUGGGACUGAGGGACUCUGAACAUACAAUGUCAUACUUUGGCCAUAGGGCCACAUUGCAAGAUAAUUUGUGAAACAAAAUAUAAAACUGAACGGAAACUAGCUCUGAGUGAACAUCAAUAUAAAGCUGGGCUGAUAAGGCCGUCAUAACCACUACAGUUGACAAACCAACAAAAAUAUACAUACAAGGCCUACAAGCCCAACAUAUUGCACCAACUGACCGGAUAUGUCUACAAGCCUGUACUGAUAGAUGUAUUGUGGUCGGAACAGGGCCCGACCUACCCAUAAUAUAUAUACAUAUAUACACAAUAUGUACUCAAAACCCUAUAUCCGGCAACUCCGACAGACGUGGAGCAUACCGAUCAAGCUGAACACAGACAAUACCUACGAAGGAGGUCUACCAAUCUUUCUAUCCGAACCUACAUGCAUAAAAUGCAGUGUCUCUAGGAAAGGGACGUUAGUACAAAAUAAUGUACCAAGUAUGUAAGGCAAUAGAAUAACUGAAAGCAAAAGCUAAACUUAUAAUAUAAUAACUGAAAGUAACUGGGAGUCAAAGAUGAUCUGGAAUAUACUUACCUGCUGAUACUGACUCAACUCUCUCUAUAUAGUAAGUAAAAUAGAUAUUUGUCCUUAUAAGGCUUGGAACGUGUAACUGCUUGGUCGUAGUAGGCUCGCUCAUAGGCGCUCGAACAUACUAGGCUCCGUUUCUUGGCCAUUCUGGGCUCGUUCAUAGGCGCUCGAUCACAGUAGACUCGGUAUAUAACUUACCAUUUGAUCAAAUGUUGCCCAAUAGGGGCCUGCCCACCGAUUAUAGCUCGAUGGUGGUGAAAAUACUGUAAUACUGUAUAUAUAUAUCCUCUGCUCUCUUGACUGGAAGAAGACAAUACUUAAUGGAAUAUAAAGUCCCGAUAAAGGAGAAUACUAUAAAUUAUGAGAUUAGGAUAAUGUACAUAAAUUCAAGAGUACGGACUUCUCUUUUUGUCUCAUUAUCAAACACAUGCAUUUACGAGAUCAUGCCAAAAUGAAGAAAAGAUCAUGCCAAAAUAAAGAAAAGUUUUAGCCUUAACAUACCUUAUCACAAUCUUUCUAAUAACCACGUUGAACUCGUCUCUUCGCACCUUAAUCUACAACAACGAUAAUAAUACUAUCAUUAUGUUACGAAAGGUACAACUAAUCGCACAACGAACGACAAGCUUAUUUUAUAUUAAAAUGGGCAGCAUCUCCCCUAUAAUCUUUACUUCCUCCCAAUUUGAGACAACACAAAAAACACAAGAACACAAUAAUAAAAACAUAUAUACAUCAUUUUCAACCUUAUAUCCAUCACAAAUUACCACAAAACCGCCCAACAUACCCCAAUCUCUUCAUAUGCAAAAUGACUACCAUAGUAGUGUCAAAAAAUCCGAAAAUAUUACUACGAACGGCCAACACACCACCCUGAAUUUAUAUGGUGUUUCUCCACACCAUUUAUCCUCCAUAACUCCCUAAAACAGUAGCAAAACACGUAAUCCAACAACAACAUGAAAUAGCCCACAAAACAGUCCACUACAAGUUGAAUAACUCGAACUCACGGCUUUCUAUCACCGUCCCGUGAGUUCUUACAAUUAUAGAACGACUUUCCAUAUAUUUACAGUAGAAAAAAUGGAUGAAAGAGAGCUUUAUACUUACCUUAUUUAGUGAAUAUCUCAGCUCCUAUCUUGGUCCUUCAACCCUUAGGUUUUUCUCCAACUAGAAGUUGAAAAGAAGAGAAAAUCAUUUAGGGUUUGUGUUGAAUGUUUUGGGAGAAUUUUCGCAGGGGCUUAUCUCUGGUUAUUUUGCUAUAUAAUAUGUGUAAUAUUUACAGGAGAUUAGACCUUAAAAGGUCUCUUUGGCCGACCCUAAAUAGCCCCUUUUUGGAAAUAUUUAGUCCUCUCAUUUAAGCAAGUAGGUGACACACCUACUUGUCACCUAGCAGUCUGCACAGGCUUGCAAAAAUGCAUAUAUCUCACUACCCCGAUAUCUUAUUGACAAAUAGUUUAAUGCGUUAUAAAAUAGACUCAUAGAUAUUCAAUUUUAUGGAUGGAUCACCCCGUAACUCUAGGUAUAUUGGGAGAAAAUAGCAGUGAUAUUUGACCCAAAUUUCAGUAAAACUUAUGAACAUAACUUGUGAUGACUUUCAUCGACUUUUGUUCCACAACUCGCUUGACUUCAAAACUUAACACAUAAAUAUCAUAAGACUAAAAUAAAUCAUAACAUAAUUCCCUUAUCAUGUUAAGAACCCUAGUCUCACCCCAAAGGUACGGGUUAUAAUAUUCCCGACUUGUCGACUUUCGACGAACUAUUAUUUUCUACAUUUCCUUUAGCUUCUGAACCUUCCAACCCUCUUUGUACUUGUUGUUCAUGAUCUUCAAUAUUUGUAACCUCCGAGGUAACAUGAUAACUUACUUUAUAUACUUUCAAAGAUGAUCUCAUUUUUGGUCUUACAUUAGUUUGCUUAUGACGCACUUUUACGUAUGAAAAUAUGGGAUUUAACAGACAAGCUCAAUAUUGAACACCCAUAAUGUUUCAGACAAUAUUAGUCUUGAUUCUCAUAAUUAUGAAGACAAAAACACAAAUACUAGAAGAAACAAAUAUAAUUAUACUACUAAUUACAAAAUUAGAGAAAACUCUAUUAUUAAUGAUUAUCUUCCUCCUUGAAAAUACUUAAAAUAUUCAAAAGAUGUUGUACUCAAAGACCCAAAGCAAAAGAAAUCUUAAAAAGAUAUAAAAAUUCUAUAUAUAUUAUUCUCUAGAAUUUCCUGCCGAAAAUGCCCUUCGGGGUGCUUUGUGGCAGUACAAUGAGAGUGUGGUCCACACUUCGGACGUCUAACAGGAGAGUUGCGGUACACUUCAGGUCUUGCAGCCGCACUUCAGGUAUUGCGACCGCACUUUAAGCCUUGCAGGCGCACUUUAAGUUUUGCGGAUGCACUUGGAGAGGUUUGAAUUAUGCUUCCUAUCUAUUCUUCGAUCUUUUGGAUUCAUCAAUGCAAACUGCUUUGCAGAUCAUAAUGCAGACGCACUCUUUCAUGUGAGAUUCGCAAAAUUGUUGAGUUACAGAGGCUUUAGGUUCUUGAUUUUGGUGGUCACAAGAGACUAAGUGCGGACCGCACUUUUGGUUUGCGAACUGCACUUCUCAGCUUCAACUGAUUUGCCUUCAAUUUGUAUUCUUCAAGUCAUUAAUUCUCUAAGCCAAUGGAUUCUUCAUAGCAAGCCUGAGAUCCAAAAAAUUUCAUUAGAAUCGGGCAUGAAAUAGUUACUUUUAGACUUUAUACUAUUAAUAAGCAGUUACAAUCCUCACUUAUUAACUACCCCAAACUUAAUUCAUUUCUUGUCCUCAAGAAACUAAAUUAACAUCAACUCUCCUAUCACCCUUAGUACAAACAAAAACCCAAGCAUAGAUCAUUUAUGAGUUAGUUGGUAGCAUCAAUUACCUACAUCACACAUACAUUCUUAACAAGGUUUAUAAAUUCAAAAGAUUUAUUUUCAACCCAUGCAAUACAAGUGUGACAUUUGAGCCUCAAAGGUUAGCUUCAUUCAUUAUGAUCUCUUGCUCAUUCAUGUUUAUCAAAGUAAGUCUAAACUCUUCUUCCUCUAGUUUCCAUUUGUAUUUCUUACCUCAAAGAAUCAAGCUCUCAUAUAAAUUUAAUAGCACACACAAACACUCAUCUUGCACACAAAGGUAUGGGAAAUUUUCACAAGUUAGGCUUCAAGUACCAUAAACUUGUCCCUCAUUUAUGACUCCAAUAAUGUAAGCAUGCUUGAUUCAAAUUCUAUUAGGACUUUGCUUGGGUUGUAAUGAAGGAUUUUUGUUAGGGCUAGGAUACAAUUAUGAAUAAAAGUGACUAACACCUUCCCUAAGUGCUUCACACAAUCAAUUUAAUAUAACAAUCCCAUUCUUUUCCAAAAUCUUCCAUUCUUUUCUUCAAUUUCAAUAAGGCAUAGUAAAAUGAUGAAGAGAGCUCUUGGAGUCCAUAUUGCUUGGAGUUAGAGAGUUUUAACAUCACUCCUUUAUCAUCAAUUUCAUCCAAACUCCUUGUUUCAAGUCUUAUAUCUUUAGCUUAUUCAUCUCUUUGAAGGUUCUCCUAAUUUUCUAUAAUGACUUAUUUUUGUCUUUUUCAAACCACUAAUUUUCUCCUUUCACAACAAUUAUUUUCAUUACUUUUUAGUUGUUUCCUUGUUGUUUCUCCUUCAAGUAGCUUCCUCAUCCCAAUUUUCCCAUUUUCUCCCUAAAACUUAGGCUUUUGACUUAGAUUGUGACUUCAAGUGCUUAAGAAAGCUAUCGCAUCAAAAGAGGAUACGAUCAAAAAGGGAAAAGGCUUGUAACAUGAUUGCCAAUGAAAGAGGCUAAAGGCUCAAAGUGGGUUGACUAGGAUAGUGUAUAAAGGAUGGCAAUUUGAAGGCAAGUCAUGUUUCAAUCCAAGCUUAGCCUAGGAUUUCACUUUGAAGUACAUUCAGAGCAAGUUCUAGACUAUCAAAUCAUACAAGUGAACUUUUAAACACGGAUGCUCCUCACCUCACAUAAAAAUAAACCGUAAAAGAAGAGAGAUUCUAAAGGCCACAAUGACCAUAAUCAUUUCAAAAGUUAACCAAAGAACCUCAAAGUCACUAACUAGAAUCACAUCCUCAAAAUAAUUCAAGCACUCGUUCAAACUACAUGUAUGUAGUUAAAUGUGUUGGCACCACAUGAGAUAAAAAUAACUUUAGCAAAGAAGGGAUUCAUUCAAAGAUCUUAUUCAUUACUUGCUACUACUAAUACUACCAAAGCAUGAUAAAAAUGCCCUAUGUAACAAAAUAAAACUACCACUGCAAAGAACCGUGGUCUAAAGAAAAUCAAGGGCUAAUCCAUUAUUUAAAAGCACAAGCAUAACUACCAUUAUUAUUAAACUACUAAGUACCAAACUACUCAAGGAAAAACAAAUUAAGUGUCAUCAUCACAUUAUUAUAACCCAUAAAGAAAUUCUCAAAUCAAAUCUCCCACACCCAAAUAAAAAGCAAGCAUUGUCCCCAAUGCUUAUGAACAUAACAAUAAGAAUAGAUUGGGGGGGGGGGAGAGACGCCCUAAGUGUCACCAGCAGCUGUUGGGUCAUCUAUGUGCUCCUCCUUUACCACAAGGAUAGUGUCAUCAUCAGUCCCGAUAGUAGGAGUGGUAAACACCUUUCUAAGUACCGGUGCAGUGCUAGAAGUCAUCUGUUGCUGCUCCUGAAUGAUUCUCUCUGUCCGCAACAUAUGUAUCAUCUUGUGGCUUUUUCUGAGUAAAUGAGGUAGAAGGCUGAGAGGUGUGAGUUGGAGGAGGAGACUGAUAUUCACUAAUAAGCAUGUCAAAAGGGAGGUCACAUGCUGCAAUAUUCUUCAAAUCUUCUCAAAGCAUCAACUAAAGUUGUUGUUGCAUAUUUCUCUUUUAAUACUUUCACUUCCUUCACCAACUCUUUUAUCACCAAGCCUUUUUGUACCAAUGUAUCUAUGAUGACCUUCUGAUCAUCAAGCAAUAUCUAGAUCUGAUCAAAAGUGAUGGGAGUUGAAUGUGAAGUAGAAUACCCAUACACGAUAGUCAUCAACUCAUUCAAUUUAGUACUUGCACUCUGCAUCCAGUCGUUGAAACUCACCAGUGUCCUAGUGAUUUAAAAAGUAUAUAAUGGACCUAUAGGCAUGGUCAUUGACGAAGGAAUGGAAGUUAAAACUACUAGGGAUAGAGGCACAAUACUAUCUUUAUCAACAACCAUAGGCUUAGAUAAAUGUGAAUAUGAUGAAGAUGGGACAUCUGAUCCAUCCAAAGUAGACACACGUGGCUCCUCAGGCUGAAGAGUCACUAUAACAGAUGGAAUUGUCUUCUUAUUCUUUGGGUUGUGCAGGUUCUUCAGGGAAUACAAAUAAAAUUGCGUAGUCAAUUUCAUUUUAGCAUCAAAUGGCCCCGUUGGCUUUGUUUCCUCGGGUCUACCUUAAUAGAGAGUUUUUGGAAAUGGAAAAGAUGUGUUCUCUUGUUGAGAUAAAAAGGAUAUGUUAGAAGACACGAAAGAACCCAUAUUGAUAGAGUACCUAACCAUUAUAGAAGCCACAAGGAUUUCCCUUUUCAAUGGUAAGUGGUUUUCAUUCUAGCACAUGUCAAGUCUACUGCAAUCAAAUUUCUGCCACCCUUUUGCUUUAAAGUUCAAUUUUCUUCGAUAAAAACACACCCUAAUAUCCACCUAAGGAGGAGAAUUGCCUGGCGCUAAGAUCCCAGCAACCUAUGAUCACACUGCAUCAUUUUUAGCAAGCUUAGCCAAGUAUUCUGUAGGUUCUACAUUCUCAAGUGUAACGAUCCGACCAUCCGUUUUUAAUUUUAUCAUUCCUUUCUAUGAUUUAAGACUGUGAGUAGCUUUAUAUAAUAUAUUAUGACAUGUGAGUAUGGACGAUUUUGAUUUCCAAGAGGUUUAGGGUGGUUUGGAGAAGUAAAUCUUAAUUUGGAAGCUUUAAGUUAGAAGAGUUGACCGGGUUUGAAUUUUGUGUAAAUGACUACUGAUUAGUUAUUGAAAGGUUUCAAUAGGUUCGUAUGAUUAUUUCAUACUUGUACGUAUGUUUGGUUCAUGCCUUGGGUGGCUUAGAGUUGAUUCAGCACUUCUAGUUGAAGGUUGAAAAUUUGAAUUUAUUAAAGUUCAAAGAUUUUUGGUUUUAUGUGCGAUUCUUGGUUUUGAUAUUAUUUUUUAUGUUUUGAGACUUUAGAAAAGUCUGAAUAAGUUAUAUGAACUUGUUAGAAUGAUUAUACGGGAUCCCAAUGGUUCAUAUGCGUUUCGGGAUAGUUUCAGACCAUUUCUUACCAAGCUGGAAUAUGCAAUUUUUCGGGUGUGUUGCAGUGUAUCGGUAUCGCGAAGAAGGGAGGUGGAGGCAGCAGGUCUGGUGAUACGUGAUCAUGGGAAGAUGUUCACGAUCGCGAAGUGUAGCCGUGUAGUAUAUCGCGAUCGCAGAAAAUAAGUGUGAUCGCAUAGAAGGCUAGGGCAGGAGGAUGUUGGUUCAUCGUGAGCGCGUGUGAGCUUCGCAUUUGUGUAUGGUUGCUAAUGAAGUUUCAUGAUCGUGUGUGUAUGCCUGCAUUCACAUAGAGGUACUACACUAGGUGAGGAGAUUGUGAAAUGUGAUAAUGUGGGGGCAAUCAGUGAUUGUGUGUGAGGAAUUCUGACCCGAGUCAUUUGUGAAUCACGAUCGUUUGGCUCUCAAUCGUGAUCAUGAAGGGAAAUAUGCUAUCAAGGGUAUAUUUUGUCUAGAAUUUUCGGAAUUGAUCAUUUUUCACUAUUUUGAGUUUUGGAGAUCGGGAAGAGGCGGAUUUGGAGAUCGAUUUCACCCAUAUUUUGAGGGUAAAUAAUUUCUACUUGAUUUUGAUCAUGUAUCUUGAUUCCCUAUGGAUAUCUGCACCUAAAACAUGAAAAUUCAAAGUAAAAUUUGGGGGUUUUAUCUACAACUUAAGUGAGUGUAAUUUGAGGUCUUGAGCACCAAUUUGGAAACUAAUUAUAUAUUUAGACUCGGUAAGUUAUAGGUCAAGGAGAUUUGGUAUUGGUUUCAGAUUUUGGGCAUGCAAGACCGGGUAGACUUUUGUUGACUUUUUGGAAAUGUUUCAAAGGCUGAUGCUUUAUUGAUUAGGGUUGCUUCCUAUAGCAUUAUUUGACCUCUUUGGAUGAUGUUGUCUUGGAUUUGCAUGAUUGGAGAGUAAGAAAGAGGUUUAUACAUGAUUUGGUGAUGAACAACCAGAUAAUAAGUAUCUUGCUUGACCUCAACCCGAGGGAUUGUUUUCUAAAAAUGGAAUUAUUUUCUACGUGCUACGUGUUUUGGGGGUGACGUAUAUAUUAGAUGACACAUUUACAUGCGAAAACCAAGAUUAUAUCAUGUCUUGGCUAGAUUAUAGGUUCUUCAUGCCUUAAAUGGAUGCGAGUUCUUCUUAAAUUAUGCUCUAUUUGAUUAUUCAUGCUAGAGAUCAUGGUUUUCCUUAUAACAGCCUAUUUGAGCCAGAUGGGUUAUUCUUGAGAUUUGUUGAUACACUUGAUUUGGCAGUAGUCACAUAUUACAUUAUGAAGACACAUGUUAUUCUUGUGAUAAGUCUUAAACCAUUGUAUGAAUACAUGUGCUUCCUUAUUCGUGUUAGAUAUUAUAGGCUUUCGAUGCUUAUUUGGAUAAUGGAUUACAUGUUGGGAUCGUAGUCAUAUGUUACACUUAGGCACAUAUCAUGCAUAGAGAUCAUCUCUUGUAUACAUACAUACAUCCAUGCAUGGUUAUUUCUCUGUUCGUGUGCGUUAUUCAUGCUUAUCUCCUAUUCAUAUGCAUAUAUCUCUGUAUAGUCCUCUUAUAUGGACUGAGAUUGUGGCACACGAGUUGUUCGUGCAAUUGAGAUGGUUAUGGCAUGUGGUUUUUACUAUGCGGUUAUUGUGAUAUUGAUAUUGAGUAUUGGCACGUAAGUUGUCUGUGCAUAUUAGUAUAUUUAAGGCACGUGAGUUGUCUGUGCUAGUGAUACUAUUAUUUGCACAUGAGUUGUCUGUAUAGCACGUGAGUUAUCCGUAUAGCACUUGGAUAUGGAUCUAUCCCUCCGGAGUUAGAUAAUCACCCACUGUACCUUGGGCCAUAUGAGAGCAUUGUGUGUGUAUUGGCACUGAUUCUAAGUAAAGGACUGCGUCUUGAGCAUGAAUUGUCAUCCUAGACUCGUGUAGAAACCUUUAUACAUAUUAUUGACAUAUGUACAUUUACACAUAUUUCGUAGCAUAAGACUUGUUAGCGGAUUGUUUGACACUUAGGAAAUGUUGGGUUUGAUGUACAUGUUAAGACUUUAUCAUGCCUAGUCCUUGUUGUGAUCUUGUAGAAGUACUUGGAUAAAAUCUACUUGGCACAAAUUGUAUUAACAUGUGGAUUUGGUGCAAUUGAAUAAGCUUUGGGUAUUCAGAAGCAUGCUUAUAGCUUUCUCCUCAAAUUUUGCACCUUAUAUUUGAUACCCAUUAUUCUCGUUGGUUGUUUCAUGGAUAUUCCUCUAUUAUUAUACAUACUAUUGAGCUACACAAGUUAUAUAAAGUGAAUAUAUUUUGGCUAAACCUUGUUACUACUUUAUUGAGGUUAGUCUUGAUACUUAUUGAGUACGUGGCAUAAGUUGUACUCAUACUACACUUCUGCACCUUGCAGAAUUUGGAGUUGACCUGUCAUAGAUAACAAAGGCUAGCAUUGAAGAUGUACUAGCAUUCCAUUUACAAGCUACCACUUUGUUCAUGGUAGUUUAGGACUUGUACUACGAGUCCUUGAGAUAGUUGUUUUGAUUUCCAAAAUCAUAUUUAUUAUUUAUUGAUGAUUUUGAUUCGAGUUGUGUUAUAUGUUGUUUGACUUACCUAGCACGUUAGGCUAGGUGCCAUCAUGACUAUGUGGGAGUUGGGUCAUGAUAAGUUGGUAUCAGCGCUCUAGGUUCAUAGGUUCUACGAGUCAUGAGCAAAUAUCUAGUAGAGUCUUGGAGAUCGUUAUGAUGACGUCUAUGCUUAUCUUUGAGAGGCUACAUGGCAUCUAAGAAACUUCGCACUCUUUCAUUCCUCACCGUGUGCUUUGUUUCAUCUUGAAGCUUAAACCCUCGUUGUAUUUAUUCAUUCGUAUGUGAUAUUGAGUACUAGAUACAUGUUAUGCACCAAUAACUUUUGAUGUCAUUGAUGCGCUGCGAGAUGUUUUCAUGUGGUGUGAAGAUAGGUUAGUCUAAAGGACUUGAGGCCAGGUUUAGACCGCAACAUUGGCUUGGCAGAUUCAGUUGUGUGAGUAUGUGAUUUUUGGGCUCUUAUGUAUGACAGUGUCCCUACAAGUGGGAUUGAUGGCUCAGUGAGCGGCAAGAUAGCUAUGUAAUGAGCAUUAUGUGACAAAGGACUACACUUAGAUAGUUUGUAGGUGACGAGAAGGAUAUGCUUAAGAUUCAAAAAGGAUAUGGAUGUUUGAUUAUCAUAUUGAUAUGCAACACAGUCUUGAGUUGUAGUGUGUUGAUGGACCUUUCAGUUGUUCAUUUGUGGAAUAAAGUGAAUUCUUAUAUCUUGUUGAUGAGUGUUGACUCGGGACGAUCAAUUAAUUACAUAGUGGUUAUAACCACGGUAAGGUCAUAGAAAGAUGUCGAGUUGAGGCUAAUGGGUAUCUCUUGUGAGAAGGUUUGAGGUUGUAUGAUUUCUUAUGAGGCUCCUAUGAAGAGGUUUCCUUUUAUCUAGUGGAAUGUAUGUACUACAAUGAGAGUUCAGAUCAUUUGAGAAAGUUGGCACGACUGUCACAAGGAUGAGUAUAUGUUUGGGCUGAUAAUUUUGAAUUUGUGAUAACUAGUGUUAUAUGAGCUUAUGAGAAGUUCAGUUGAGUAAAAGUACGAGAUCAUGAUAGUUAAGGUGUAAGGCCCCGUAAAAUUUGACCUUGGACCUGGGGUUUCGUGGUGCUGAGGUAGACUAAUGUGUUUGAGGGUUGUAGAGUACGGACAUUUUGGGUUGUACAGUGCGUCGGGGAGUUGGAAGAAUAAUUUUGUAUAACAUGGUACUUCUGCGGUCCACUAUGCGACCGUAAAAUCACUUCAUGGACCGCAGACCGGCCGCAGAAUGCAACAGGACCAAAGCAAUUUUCGAAGUUCAUUUUGUAGUCAAUUAUGCGACCACAUAAUCAUUUCACGGGCCGCACAUUCGUCAUAGAUUCAACAUAAAAAAUUCCAGAGGGAGACUUUUGCGGUGUGUUAUGCGACCGCAUAAACUUUCAACCCAGGUUCUGGGACAAUUUUGUGAUCCACUUCGCGAGCCGCAUACCUGUUAUUCGGAGGGUCCAUUUUCUAUUUUUAUAACCCGACCCCACUUUGAUUAAAAGUCAUUGGGGCUUGUUUAGAAGGCAAAAAUCUGAUAUUUUAGUGAGAGGGGAAGGGAGCUAGAGAGAGAAGGAAGAUCACUAACAUCUUCACACUUCAAUUCCUUGCUCAAAACUUAGAUAAUUCACAAGGAAAGCUUGCAAAAUUGUCUAUUAAAGAGGUAAGGUUCUAGCCCUAGCUUUCAAUUUUGAAUUUGGGUAGAAGUUGGGUAAUGGGGAGUAUGGUUCUUGGGUAUGGGAGUUGUUCUUUGUGCAUGCAUGUAACGAUAUAGAUGGUUGGGAGUUCAUGGAACUUGUAUAGGUAAACUCUUGGUGUUGGAUUGGUUAUGGGGUGAAGGAAAUCCCCCAUAAAAGAACCUUGAAAUCAUAUUGCACAUUUAGUACUUGAUAAAAUGUCUUAGUGGGUUGAACCCAUGAAUCUCUUCCUAAUUAUGGUUCAAUUUUGUCAUGUCUCUAAUUAGAUUGAAGUAUCUAGGAGUUUCAGAACGUUGUAGUAUAUUAAGAAAAUCUCAACCGAGGUAUGUUGGCUAAACUUCUCUUGUAGAGUCGAAUUCCAUGAUGUUCUCAUAAGAUUCAAGUGUGAUUGGCCCAAGUUCCUAAUUCCUAUGUUUCGAAUCAUUCCUAACAUAUUUGAUCAUUCCAAUUAAGCAUUAUGUUGAAGUGUGUGUGUGUGUAUAUAUANNNNNNNNNNNNNNNNNNNNNNNNNNNNNNNNNNNNNNNNNNNNNNNNNNNNNNNNNNNNNNNNNNNNNNNNNNNNNNNNNNNNNNNNNNNNNNNNNNNNNNNNNNNNNNNNNNNNNNNNNNNNNNNNNNNNNNNNNNNNNNNNNNNNNNNNNNNNNNNNNNNNNNNNNNNNNNNNNNNNNNNNNNNNNNNNNNNNNNNNNNNNNNNNNNNNNNNNNNNNNNNNNNNNNNNNNNNNNNNNNNNNNNNNNNNNNNNNNNNNNNNNNNNNNNNNNNNNNNNNNNNNNNNNNNNNNNNNNNNNNNNNNNNNNNNNNNNNNNNNNNNNNNNNNNNNNNNNNNNNNNNNNNNNNNNNNNNNNNNNNNNNNNNNNNNNNNNNNNNNNNNNNNNNNNNNNNNNNNNNNNNNNNNNNNNNNNNNNNNNNNNNNNNNNNNNNNNNNNNNNCUUAUUGCUCAUAUAUAUACUUAAAGUCUUGACUUCAAAUUCUCUUAUUGUUGAUAGCAUAUUAUGAAGCUUGAAAGGAAAGAAGUGAAUAUGAGAUAUAAAAUGUGGCCAUCGUGCCACGAAUGAGAAUUAUACUUGUGUCCAAUAGUGCCAAUGAAAUGAAGAGGAUGUGUCAAAGACUAUGAAAUGAACUGUAACUCCUUUAUAUAAUAAAUGUUUUAGGAGUAUUGUUUAGUCACUGAGGAAGGGUAGGUUGAAAUAACCUAACCCCGAAACUACACGUGCCAGUGUAGGAGUGAUUGAGGGGUAAAAUAUCCGUAUUGAUGUGUUGAGAUUAUUACCCUUAAAUAGGAUGAGGCUGAUGUGUUGAGAUUAUUCCAUUUAAUUGGGAUGAGAUAUUUGCUAGCAAAAAGUGAUGUCGAUCCACACGGCAUUGUGGUGAGAUGGCUUAGCCGAUCGGGCUAAGAUCGGAUGCCAUGCCGUGGACAUGGUAGUGUUGUGAUUGGAUGUCUUUGGGUGAGACGGCUUAGCCUAUCGGGCCGUGAUCGGACUCCCUGCUAAAAACACAGUGGUGUAUCGGUACUAAAGAUCUCCCAACUUGAAAAUAUUGAUGUUUACUUGAGAACUUGUCUUUCUCUUAACUUGAUGCUUUUAUAUUGUUUGAGGCUCUCCUUGAUCCUAUGUUGUUUCUCUUUGUACUGUUACUCGACUCUUCGAGAGAGUGUUUAGUCUUACAUACUAGUACUAUUCCAUAUGUACUAACGUUCCUUUUGCUGGGGGCGCUGCAUCUUUAAUGGAUGCAGGUGGUUCCACAAUAGGCGACAUCGAUUAGUGAUAGUGGUACACCCUCUUCUCUGCUGACUUGGUGAGCCCCACUUCAUAUUGGGGUCUUGUAUCUUUCUUUCCUUAUGUAUAGCGUUUUGAGGUAUAGCCGGGGCCUUGUUGCCGGCACCAUCAUAUUACUCUUUUGUAUCUAUUAGAGUCUCCCUAGACAUAGUGUGGGUUAUAUCUUGGUUUUGGAAAGUUUAACUAGAAAUGUUUUAUUUGUAUCACAAGUUUCCACUUCUAAACUAUGAAUGUGUAAUGUGUUUUUGGGAAUUGUAUAGGAUGUAAUUAAUGGUAAUGAAAUUGGUGUUAAUCAUGAAAUCCUAUUAUUGUAUAACUAAUAGUAAACAUCUUCACUUUAUUCAUGGGCAAGGUCGGGUAGAAGACAUCGGGUAGGCUUGCUUGACUGGGAUAUCUAGGUUAAGCGCCGGUCACUCUCCCCAGGUCGGGGUGUGACAUAAGGAGGAAAAAGUUAUUAUGGAUCAUAGAAUGAUGUGAUUAUGGCUUCAAGCCAAGUGGAGGAGUCUACCAUCGACGAACGGGCAUAUGGACACAUUUUACUGUAGUUCCUGGACCAGGAUUAUGCUUGUGUAUUAGCUAUAGUUUGAGAAGGGUAACAUUGAGGAUGAUUUGGGAAAGGAAUUUGCUGGAUGUAUGAUGUACUAUACUUUAUUGAUAUAUAUGGAGAUUGUGGGAUGACUCAUGUUUGCUAUUCAUUAUGGAUGUAGUGUGCAAGGGGAAAUGAUUUACUCGGUUUCCUAAGGAUGAGGCUGCUUCUUAGAGUAUUUAUGUGCUAAAGGAGCAUAAGUCAUUCAGUGCAUAUUGGCUAUGCAUCAGGGAGUGAAGCAGAGCACAUGACUCUUGAGAAUGGUUCUAGUGGGUUCAAGUUACAAGAUAUGAUACUUAAGGUUUUACUGGAUCCUUCGUGCGGUUAGGAAUUUGAGAUUUGUAUUGGGUUAUGGCAGAGGCUAGGAGUACUUCUUUAUCAUUCUUGUUUGAGGUAGUUUGGAUGCAUGAAAGGGAAUAAAGUGGCUUACGGAUCUUAGAAUGACAUAAUUUCACGUCGGGGUUACUUGGGAUGAGUUUUGGUCAAAGAACACACUGUAUUAGGAAAGAAAAGUUAUGCCUUGAAGUCAAGCCAAGAGUAAUUUGAAGAAGUUGGGUUAGCAUUGCAGUGGCUUGGACCAGCAUGGUAACAGAAAUGAUCAGUUUCUUUGGUAUGAUGGGACAUUACAAGCACUUUUGUGGUAGGACUUUUGGAUUUGGCAAUCUGCGUGACUUGGUUGACUUGGAGAGAUUCAGUUCCAGUGGCUUGAUUAUGUGUAAGUGGGAUUUUAAGAGCUUGAGGUCUAUCCUACUUUUGACUUGGAGUAGAUAAUGGGAUGCUUGUACUUAGAUGUGGCAUGGGGGGAGGGUGUGUUGAGUACUGUGAGGUAUGGGUUGCUUCGCAAAGCCGCGGUUCGUCUUCUGGCAAAAGGAUUGGGAUUAGAGUUAGAGAAAAUGAUUUGAGUUGUUUAAGAAGCAUAGUAAUGACGAUUUUAGUGUCACCAAGAAAAGGGAAUGUGUUGUGGAGGAUGAAUACAGAUAGGGUCUAUAGAUAAUUCGACUAAGCACUAUGACCUUUGUAUGAUAGUCAGUCAUUGAAUUAGAUUUUAGUUAUCUGACAUGGAAGAACUGAUGAAAUACACAUUCGAGAUGCUCGCAGGUGCGACUUCAAAGUUGUGUUUGAGUAGGCAUGUUCACUAGGAUAAGGAAUCUUGCACUUUUGAGGUAUAAAGAUUGGAUUUUGAGAGGUGAAACUAUCUCUAGGAGUUGUGUACAAUGGAAAUGUGUUAGUAGUUAGAUAGUUGAUCAUAUGUAUGUCUGUGGUGGGUGACUUGAUGUCACGACCUAAUUCCCACCAUAGGCCAUGAUGGCACUCAACGCUGCUGUUAGGCAAGCCAACAGUUCACCACCAACACAAUUAUCCAUUCAUAAAACCUUUAAAAUCAAGAAUUUCAUUGACGGAGUGGAAAUAAGUCUAGAAAUCAUGUUAAAAUAUUUUCAUUCUUACUAAAUCACCGGUACGAAAUAAACAUAAAGCAUAAUGAUGAUAAUAUUAAGUACAACUAUAAUAAUCUACUAGAAAUCCCAAAAACAUGGUGUCACAAAGUACAUGAGUAUCUAGUAGAUUAUACAAAACUGCUAUAUCUACUGUCUGGAAUAAAAUCAGAUAGAAUAAAAUAAACAUAGGGGGAAGGAGACUCUUGGUGCUGCGGGUCAAAGCAUGGAAAGCAACUCAACACAAGGUUUCUAGCAAAUGCGGCUACGUGCCCGGGUGACCACAUAAAGUACCUGUCUCAGUUCUGCACAAUUAGUGAGGAGCUGUAGUAUGAGUACGUAAAUCAACACGUACCCAGUAAGUAACUAGUCUAACCUCGAAGAAGUAGUGACAAGGGUCGAUAUCAACACUUACUAGUGGCCCAAUAACAAUGUAAAUAAAGUAGACAUGUGUGAAACACAAUGAGUAGUAGCAAGACAGAUAGAUAUCAAUAAUAUGAUUCUUAAGCAAGAAUAAUUACGAAAUCAUUAAAUACCAUAAACUGCCCUGAAGGGACAAGGUCAACUAAUAUCAAAUACGAUACCAAAUCUCAAGUCAGGAAAACUCAUAUGCACGCUGACUCCCUAUCAAGUAUUACACACGAGUCUGCUGAGGCGAUCGACCCGAUCCCAAAAGAAUAGUUUUACACAAUACUGCCAAGGUGAACAGACCGAUCCCAUAAGAAUAAUUCACAAUAUUGUCGAGGCAAACGGUCCGAUCCCAUAAGAGUAAUUCACAAUACUGCCAAGGCGAAUGGCCCAUUCCCAAAAGAUUAAUGAAUCUCUAUCAUCCACGAAGAUACAUGCGAGUCGAGAAGAUACAGAACUACCGAUCAUCAAAUAUCCCACAAAAUAUGAAGUAAGAGGCUCGGUCAAUACAUAAAUCCUGGUCUCAUCCCAGUUAUAAGUUCAAGUAAUCAAACAAACAAGUUUAAUUCAAAUAAUACAGUUAAGGCAUGGUGUAGGUCUAAGUCAACCUGGACAUAAACAAGAAUCUAGCUACGCACAGACUCUUGUCACCUCGUACGUACGUAGCACCCAUAACAAAUAGCACCCAAAAAUUAAAAUACCCCCGGGGUUAAUUUCCUCUUACAAGAUUAGGAAAGAGACUUACCUUGCUUCCAAGACCACUACUCGACUCCCAAACCUCACUAGUCACCUCAAAUCGAUGCCGAGCAACCCAAAACUAGUCAAACGACGUACAAAACAAUCAAUAUAUUCUCGAAAGCUCAUAAUUUAACUAUUAAAGUCGAUUCCCAAACUCACUCAGAAAGUCAAUAAAAGUCAACCUCGGGCUAACGUGCCCUGAUUCCGGAAAUUUUUGAAGAUAAUGUUACCCAUGGCAUUACGAACUCAAAUAUAUAAUUUAUACCCCGUUCCAUAAUAAAUUUAGUGGUCAAAUCUAUUUUUUACCACAUUCUAGUUUUUUCAACAAUAACCCCAAAUUCAACACAUUUCCAUGUUAAAUUCCUCACCUAAUCCAUGUAUUUAACUCAUAAUUAGUAGAAAUCACUUACCUCAUGAUGCUUGAUGAAAAUACCCCUCCAAAGAGCUCCCAAAUAACCCAAGCAAAGUGAAAAAUGAGGAAAAUGAGCCUAAGUCCCAUAUUAAAAUCACAUUUUGCCCAGGGGUUCUUAAUCGCGAUCCCGAAAAAUGCCUCGCGAUCGCGAAUGCCAAUCUGCCCAGAAAACCAUCAUCGCAAUCGUGAUGCCCAGGUUGCGUUCGCGAUGCACAUAGUCCCCAACCCUCUGCGUUCGUGGUCCCACUGCCGCGUUCGCAAAGGCUUACGCCUUUCUGCCCCAUCAACUCCUCUUACGCGAAGACCAACUACCCUCCUGGCCUAAACCAUUAACCCAUCGCCUUCGCGUCUAUAGCCUUGCGAACGCGAAGCGCUGCCAAGCCACCUUCCAUGAUCGCGAUGCUUAUUCCGACAUUGUAUAGAACAAAUUCCCCUCAGUCCCGCACAACUCUCUGUGAUCGCGUGACCAUAUUCGCGAUCGCGAUUCACACCCGACACCAGCAAAAUCUUCCAACUUCAACCUUGCUCCGGUGGUUCGAAACUCACCCCGAGCAACUCGGGACCCCAUCCAAGUAUACCAACAAGUCCAUCCACGAAUCGCACCUCAAAACCAAAUUAAUCAACUACUAAACUUCAAACUUCUUCUAACUAGCUUCGAACGCGAUGAAGCAUACAUAGACAACUCUAAAUGACGCCAGAUUUCACACACAAGUCCGAUAUGACAAAAUGAACCUAUUCAUAGGUCCGUAAUGCCGAACAGGAUACUAUAAGACCAAAGUCUACUUCAAAUCAAACUUAGAAAACUAUAAAACCUUCAAUAUGCCAACUUCCAACAAUAAGCACCAAAACACUCAUUAUCCACCUAAAUAUCGAUCCCAACAUAUGACCAAGACCAAAAUUACCAUAUGAACCUAUUGGAACCUUAAAAUACUGAUUCCGAGGUCAUUUACUCAAAGUGUUGACUCAAGUAAAACUUAUCCACCUUAGGCCACUAUUUUGAACUAAGUGUUCCCAAUUCUACCCGAACCCUUCGAAAUCCAUCCAACCAUCCCCGCAAGUCAUAAAACAUGAAAAACACAUACAGGGAGUCUUAAAUAGGGGAACAAGGAUCUAGAAAGAUAAACGACCGGUCGUGGUGUUACAUUCUCCACCUCUUAAACAAACGUUUGUCCUGGAACAAGUUUAGAAUCACACCUGAAGUGCCGAAUAAGUGUGGAUAUCUGCUCCGCAUGUCCUCAUUAGUCUCCCAAGUGGCCUCCUCGACUGAUUGACCCCUCCACUGGACCUUCACGCUACAAUCUUAGACCUCAACUUGCGAACCUUCAUGUCGACAAUGGUAACUAGCUCUUCCUCAUAACCACAACUCCCAUCUAGCUGAAUUGUGUUGUAAUCCAACACAUGGGACCUGUUGGCAUGGUACCUACGGAGCAUAGAGACGUGGAAUAUCGGAUGAACUCUUGAUAGACUAGGAGGCAAAGAAAUCCUAUAUGCAACCUCACUAACUCGCUCCAAAACCUCGAAUGAACCGAUGAACCUCGGACUAAAUUUGCCCCGAUUUCCAAACCUCAUGAUACCCUUCUUCAACGAGACUUUCAAAAGUACCUUCUCACCCACCAUAAAUGACAAAUCACGCACUUUCUGAUCUACAUAACUCUUCUUCCUGGACUGUGCUGUGUGAACCUGCUCCUGAAUCAACUUUACCUUAUCCAAGUCAUCCUUCACCAAAUCAAUACCAUAUAAUCUGGCUUCAUCGGGCUCAAAUGGAGCCAUCUCGAUACAUGACUGAUAGAUGUUGUUAUAAUCAAACUCGGCCAACGGCAAGGAUCGAUCCCACUACCCUCCUAAGUCAAUAUUUCAUGCUCUGAGCAUAUUCUUCAGAAUUUGAAUUGUCCGCUCCGACUGUCCAUCGAUCUACAGAUGAAAGGCUGUGCUGAGCUCUACCUGGGUACCCAACUCACUCUUUACUACUCUCUAGAAAUGCGAAGUGAACUGAGUGCCUCGAUUUGAAAUAAUGGAAAUAGGCAUGCCAUGCAACCAGACGAUCUCCUGGAUAUAAAUUUGGGCCAACCUCUCUGAACUAUAUGUAGUCAUCAUCGAAAUAAAGUGUGCAGACCUGGUCAGUAUGUCGAAUAUGACCCAAACAACAUCAAAUUUCCUCAACGUCUAUGGCAAACCAACCACGAAAUCCAUGGUGAUGCGCUCUCACUUCCACUUUGGUAUAACCAUCUGCUGAAGUAAUCCACCUGGCCUCUAGUGUUCGUACUUAACCUGCUGGCAAUUCAAACAUCUCGCCACAUACUCAACUGUGUCCUUCUUCAUCCGCCGCCACCAGUAAUGCUGCCUCAGGUCACGAUGCAUCUUCGUGGCACCUGGACGAAUAGAAUAACGCGAACUGUGUGCCUCCUCUAGAAUCGUCUCCCUCAGACCAAACAUUAGGAACACCUAAGUGACCCUGGAUUCGCAUAACACCAUCAUCCCCGAUAGUAACCUCCUUGGAAUCACUUCAUAGUACCGUCUCUCCAAGAACUAGCAAGUGCAAAUCAUCAAAAUGACGAGCCUUAAUUCGCUCGAAUAAAGAAGACCGAGCCACAACACAUGCAAGAACUCAGUAGGGUUCAUAAAUAUCCAAGCUCACAAGUCGGUUAGCUAAAGACUAAAUGUCCAAAGACAAUGGCCUCUCCUCUGCUGAAAUGAAUGCCAAACUACCCAACUCUCGAUCUUUCUUCUCAAGGCAUCCGCGACCACAUUCGCCUUGCUCAGAUGAUAAAUGAUGGUAAUAUCAUAGUCCUUUAGUAACUCAAGACACUAUGCUACCUCAAAUUAAGCUCCCUCUGCUUAAAUAGAUGCUGUAAUUAUGGUGAUCGGUGUACACCUCACACGACACUCUAUAAAGAUAAUGCCUCCAGAUCUUGGGAGCACGAACUAUUGCAGCCAACUCCAAAUCGUGCACAUGGUAAUUCUUAUCCCGGGGCUUCAACUGAUAUGAAGCAUGUGCAAUAACUCGCCCUCCUGCAUCAAUACACAACCUAAUAUAAUGCGUAAAGCAUCGCAAUACACAAUAUACAUCCCUGAACCAGAGGGAACAACCAACACUAGUGCUGUAGUCAAUGCGAUCUUGAGCUUCUGAAAGCUCACCUUUUAAUCACCCGACCAUCUGAACUAAGCAACCUUCUGGGUCAAUCUAGUCAAAGGAGGUGCAAUAGAUGAGAAGGCAUCUACAAACCGGCGAUAAUAACUUGCUAGCUCCAAGAAACUCCUGAUCUCGGCCAUUGUGGUAGGAUGAGCACCCCGAUAGGCUGUGGUGUUGUAUGCAUGGGCCUGCUAGGAUGGUCCUUCAUGAACUGAACUCUGCUACCAGAUGGGGUUCCAUUGAAUCCACCAAAAUGCUGAGGCCGCAUAUCCCUCGACAUGAACUCUCUGCUCUUGUUAUAUAUAUAUGCUUGAUCCUCCGAGCUAUCUCUACUACUUGGAAGUACAGAGUCCCCAUCUCUGCCUCUCGGGCCAUAGAAACUUGAAUCUCAUGAUGCAAGCCCGCAAUAAACCUCCCCACUCUCUCUGCAUCUGUGGGGAGUGUGAUAGCUGCAUGACAAGACAAGUCAGUGAAUCUCAUCUUAUAGUCGGUCACAGAUAUCUAACCCUGCCAGAGCUGCUCCAUCUAACCCCGUAACUCCUCCCUCUGAGUAGGUGGAAUAUACUUAUCCAAGAAGAGGUGUGUGAAUGGAUCCCAAGUGAAGGGAGGUGAACCUGUUUGCCUGCUAUAGAGAUAAGACUGCCACCAUCUAUGGGCCUUCCCCUCUAUCUAAAAUUAGCCUCUCCUUGCAACAGUCAAUGAAAUCAUGUGGGUCCUUUGACUUCUCACAUCCAAAGACGGGAGGAUGAAGUCUAGUAAAUCUAUCCAGCCGUUUUGUCUCCUCAAUGGUCAUGGCCGGUCUGACCUCUGCUCUAAAUGCUGCAACCGGCUGAACCCCGCCCGCAGGUUGUGUACCUAGGGUCCGAUAAAAAGCAGCAGCAUGCCCUGACGCAUGAGCGGUAGGGGUCUGUGCUCCCCUACCUCCUGAGAUAUGGUCGGGUCAGCUGGAAAUAGUCUGGCCUGAGUCAUUGAAUCCAUAAAUCACAACAUACGAUGCAUGAUCUCCUAAAAUCCUGGUGCAGUCAUAAAGUCUGAUGGGCUGGCUCAACUGCAGGUACCUCAUCCUGCUCCUCAAUAAUAUUAUCCUCCACCAAAUCUACCAGUGGUACUAUUGGGGCAACUCUAGGACGCCCUCAUCCUCUGACAAGAGAUAUGGGCUUCCCUCAGCCUCUGCCUCUACCUCUGACAAUUGAGGAGAAGCCCCUCCGUCGCCGGGUAAUGCAUUUGUGCGCGUUCUCACCAUUUGUGAAAGAAUAAGAGAAAGAUACUUAGCACACCAAAAAAGAGAAAAUUCCUAACACCCUAUAGCCUCUCGAAGAUAAGUACAGACGUCUUCAUACCGAUCUGCAAGACUCUACUAAGUUUGCUCAUGAAUCGUGAAACAUAUGUGAACCUAGUACUCUAAUACCAAGCUGUCACGAUCCAAUUCCCAUCGUAGGCCAUGAUGGCGCCCAAUGCUGUCGUUGGGAAAAUGAACGGUGAACCACCAACACAAUUAUCCGUUAAUAAAACCUUUAAAAUCAAGAAUUUUAUGGGGGGGGGGGUGGAAUUAAGUCUGGAAAACAUGUUAAAAUAUUUUCAUUCUUAAUAAAUCACCAGUACAAAAUAAACAUAAAGCUGAAUGAUGAUAAUAUUAAGUACAACCAUAAUCAUCUACUAGAAAUCCCCAAAACCCAGUGUCACUAAGUACAUGAGCAUCUGGUAGAUUAUACAAAACCAUUAUAUCUACUGUCGGGAACAAAAAUAGAAAGAAUAAAAUAAACAUAGGGGGAAGGAGACUCUGGGUGCAGCGGGUCAAAGUAUGGAAAGCCGCUCACCACAAGGUUUCCAGCAAAUGCGGCUACGCGCUCGAGUGACCACUUAAAGUACCUGUCUCAGUACCUACACAAUUAGCACAUAAGUGUAGUAUGGGUACAUAAAUUAACGUGUACCCCAUAAGUAACUAGUCUAACCUCGAAGAAGUAGUGAUGAAUGGUCGACAUCGACACUUACUAGUGGUCCAAUAACAAUGUAUAUAAAGUAGACAACUAUGAAACACAACAAGUAGUAGCAAGACAGAUAGAUAUAGUAAUAUGAUUCUUAAGAAAGAAUAAUUAUAAAAUAAUUCAAUACCAUAAACUACCCUGAAGGGACAAGGUCAACCAAUAUCAAAUACGAUACCAUAUCUCAAGUCAGAAAAACUCAUAUGCACACUGACUCCCUGUAGAGUAUUACACACGAGUCUGCCGAGGCGAUCGACCCGAUCCCAAAAUAAUAGUUUUACAUAAUACCACCGAGGAGAAUGGCCCAAUCCCAUAAGAAUAAUUUAUAAUACUGCUGAUGUGAACGACCUGAUCCCAUAAGUAUAAUUCACAAUACUGCCGAGGCGAACGGCCAGACCCCAUAAUAAUAAUUCACAAUACUGCCGAGGUAAACAACCUAAUCCUAAAAGAAUAAUGAAAGUCUCUCACCCACAAAGAUACGUGCGAUUCGAAAGACAUGGAACUACCGAUCAUCAAAUAUCCCACAAAAUUCAAAGUAAGAGGCUCGGUCAAUACAUAAAUUCUAGUCUCAGUCCAGUUAUAAGUUCAAGUAAUCAAACAAACAAGUUUAAUUCAAAUAAUACAGUUUAGGUACGGUGUAGGUCUAAGUCUACCCUGACAUAAACAUGAAUCUAGCUGCACACGGACUCUUGUUACCUCGUAUGUACGUAGCAUCCACAACAAGUAGCACACAACAGUUAAAUACUUACGGGGUUAAUUUCCUCUUAUAAGAUUAUGCAAGAGACUUACCUUGCUUCCAAGCCUACUACUCGGCUCCCAAACCUCACUAGUCACCUCAAAUCGAUGCCGAGCAAUCCAAAACUAGUAAAAGGGCAUACAAACCAAUCAAUAUAUAUUCAAAAUCUCAUAAUUCAAUUAUUAUAUUCAAAACUCCACAGCACUCAAAAAUUCAACAAAAGUCAACCCCUGACCCACGUGCCUGGAUUUCAGAAAUGUUCGAAGAUAAAUGUUAUCCAUGGAAUUACAAACUCAAUUAAAUAGUUUUUACCCCUAUCCAUAUUUAAUUUAGUGUUCAAAUACCUAUUUUUACCAAAUUAUAGGUUUUUCAACCAAACCCCCCAAAAUCUACAAAUUCCCAUGUUAAAAUCCUCACCUAAUCCAUGUAUUUAACCUAUAAUUGGUAGAAAUCACGUACCUCAUGAUGCUUGAUGAAAACCCCCUCCAAAGAUUUUCCAAAUUGCCCAAGCCAAGUGAAAAAUGAGGAGAAUGAGCCUAAAUCCCGUAUUACAAUCACAUUCUGCCUAGGGGGUUCUUAAUAGCGAUCGCGGAAAAUGCCUCCCGAUCGCGAAGACCAAUCUGCCUUCUGCCUAGAAAACCUUCAUCGCGAUCAUGAUGCCCAGGUCACGUUCGAGAUACACAUAGUCCCCAGCCCUCCGCAUUCGUGGUCCCACUACUGACCAUGAUGACUUUCACCUGCCUGCCCAAGAAAUUUCUCCUAUGCGAUCGCGACUGCCUCCACGCGAUCUCGAAGACCAUUAACUCAUCGCGUUUGCGUCUUUAUCCUCGCAAACUCGAAGCAUUGCCAAGCCACCUUCCGCGAUUGCAAUGCCUUUUCCGAGAUCGCAUAGAACAAAUUCACUUAGUCCCACACAACUAUCUGCGAUUGCGUGACCAUCUCUGCGAUCACGAUUCACACUAGACACCAGCAAAAUCUGCCAACUUCAACCUUGCUUCGGGUGGUCCGAAACUCACCCGAGCAACCUGGGACCCCGUUCAAGUAUACCAAUAAGUUCAUAAAAAUCCUCACGUCCUACUCGAAGUCUCAAAACAUAUAAAAUAAUAUCAAAACCAAGAAUCGCACCUCAAAACCAAAUUAAUCAACUUCUAAACUUUAAAUUUCUUUUAACUAGCUUCGAACACGACAAAUCGUACUUAGACAACACAUAAUGAUGCCAAAUUUCACACACAAUUCCGAUAUGACACAAACCUACUCCCAGACUCAAAAUGCCAAAAGUGAUCCGAUAACACUAAUGUCUAAUUCAAAUCAAACUUAGAAAACUCUAAAGCCUUCAAGAUGCCAACUUCCAACAAUAAGUGCUGAAACGCUCCUGAUCCACCCGAAACUCGAUCCGAACAUACGCCCAAGUCCAAAAUUACCAUACGAUCCUAUUGAAACUUUUAAAUCCUGAUUCUGAAGCUGUUUACUCAAAGUGUUGACUCAAGUCAAACUUAGAAAUCAAACUUGGCCAUCUUAGGCCACUAUUAUGGAACAAAGUUUCCAAAUUCAACCUGAAUCCUUCCAAAAUCUAACCAACCAUCCCCACAAGUUAUAAAAUAAGAAAAGCACAUACGGGGAGUCUUAAAUAAAGCAAGAAAAAUUUGAAAAGUAAAAUGACCGAUUGGGUCAUUUCACUUGAGAAGAUUUGUGCUUGUUAAAGCUUCUGGUUUAUGGUAUUUGGUGUGUUAUGAUCUGUAUAGAUGUGGUGAUAUAUGUUUCUCAGAGAUCUUGGGUUAAGGAGCAUGGUUUAAGAGGUUAUUGGAAUUAUUUUUGUAUGUAUUGGGAUAAUGGAAAAGUUAAGAGAGGCCUUUAGAGGCUCGAGGAUUUGUAUAUUCGAUGCAUUGGGUUCUAUGAGGUUGUAGAUGAUCAAGAGUGGUGUAGUAGCCUGUGUAUAUUUGUAGUUGAGGCCGGUGAGUUAGAGGUUUAUGGAAUGUCUAUGAGUGGAAGUUAGGAUGGGUCUCUAUUGGUUGGUAGGAGGCUUAUUACUACUUCAGAAGUAUGUGGAAUCAGCUUAGGUGUCUACUAGUACGACGAUUGAUGAUGUGUAUUUUACGACAGGCCUAAUUUUCCUAUAAAGUUAUUUUUUUGCAGACUUAUUAUAUUUGAGUUAUUGCUGAUAUGGUUCAAACCAUGACGAUUGAGGUUUCAUGUCAAAUUUGGCAUAACUUGUUUGUUGAAUAGCUUGUGCUACGUGAGACGAAGUUUAUGGAUAUGAAAUUAGCAUGAUCGAAUUUGGAUAAGGGUAUAUUUGGAAGCGAAUGCCUUUAGGAAUCCUAGAACAUGCAAUGGUUCUUCCCGGACGAGAGGAAAUCUAUGACUUGUUGAUGUGAUGGGUGAUCUUGAGUUUCUACAGGUUUUGUUCAUCAUUAACAGUGUUUUGAAGGAUUAGAACAACGAUUUAUUUGAGAUGAGGUAUUUUUUCGGUACUGUGUGUGGCUAUAAGUGGUAAUUGCAAUAAGAAGAUAUUGCUAUGGUUAUACGAGUUAUGAGGUACAUCGCGUGGUUACAUCUUAGAAGUACAUUUUAUGGCUUAAUAAAAAUUGUUGAGAUUGAUAAAGUUUAUAUAUACAAGAACCAAAUCUUAGAGGGAGUGCCGAAUAUUAAAAUUUUGUUCAAGGGCUUAUGGGCCAAAGGUUGAAUAAAGAAUUUUUACUUAGGAUUAUGUUUGGUAGAAUGGGAAGAAUUGAGGGAAGAAGGGCACACAAGGAAUGAAUGGGAAGAUCAAAAAGUUGGAAGUAGAAAGAACUUAAUGGGCGUAUAUGGAUUGAGGUGAUGUGACAUCAUCCAAGGGUAUGUGUAUGAUGAGUUUAUGCAUUUAUAUGACUGCUUUGGAUGACUCUUGUCACAUUUGAGAAUGAACAUAUAUUUAAGUGGGGAGAAUGUGACGAUCCGACUGGUCGAUUUGAGUUCUAGCAUUCCUUUAUGUGAUUUGAGACCUUUAACAACUUCAUAUAACAUAUUAUGACUUACGAGUAUGGUUGGUUUUGAAUUCCGAGAGGUUCAGGGGUGGUUUGGAAGAGUAAUUCUUUAUUUGAAAGCAUUAAGUUGGAAGAGUUGACUGGGAUUUGACUUUUGUGUAAACGACUCCGGAUUGGUGAUGGAAAAGUUCCAAUAGGUUUGUAUGGUUUUUUCGGACUUGUACAUAUGUUUGGUUCGGGCCUCGGGUCGCUCAGGGUUGAUUUGGUGCUUCUAGUCAAAGGUUGAAAUUUUGAAUUUGUAAAAGUUUGAAGAUUUUUGGUUUGAUGCGUGUUUCUUAGUUUUGAUGUUGUUAUUCAUGUUUUGAGACUUUGGACAUGUUUGAAUAAGGUAAAUGAACUUGUUAGGAUGAUUGGACUAGGUCCCGAGGGGCUCGGAUGAGUUUCAUACCAUUUGAGACCAAGUUGGAUUUUGCUAUUCUUGUGGUGUGUUACAGUGAAUCGCGGGGGGAGGGGGGAGGGUGUAUCGCAAUUGCAAAGAAGGAAGGUAGAGGCGGCAAGUUUGGUGAUACGCGAUCGGGGGAAGAGGUUCAUGAACACGUAGUGUAGUCAUGUGGUAUAUCGCGAUCCAGAGAAAGGAAAUGUGAUCCCAUAUAAGGCUGUGGCAGGAGGAUGUUAGUUCAUCGUGAUUGCGUGUGAGCUUCGCAUUCACAUAUGGUUGCCUGAUGAACUUUUGCGAUCGCGUGUGUCACACCCCAUUUUCUUAGAAAGCAGGUUUCGACGUAUGACAACUAUUUUAAAGGGUAUUAAAAUAGAAGAGUCACCAUCUAACUAUUUUUUAAGGUGUGUUAGGGCACCUAUUUUAGAAUAACUCUGUUUUAACUAGUCCACAUUACCAAUGAUCGGGUAAGGGCUAAAAUUACCUCGAAUAGAAGACGUUAGGUACUCUUCGAGGUCCACAACUAUAGUUCCCGACCGAAUUUUAAGCUAUGUGGGAAUAUUAAGUUAUUAACUAAAUUAUCCUAAGUGGGCAUACAAAUUAGUUCAUUAUUAAGCUAAAUAAAUAUGUAGGUGAUUAAAUACGCUACUAAUUAUUCUAAGUGGAUCAAAAUGACCGGAUGUAGUCCAACUUAAAGGAUAUUCGAAGCUAUAAUAAAAAUAAUACAGAGACUGAACUUAAAAUGGAAUAACAGAAAGAUUCAUCAAUUGACUAGUAUUAAUUUACAAAAACUUUUAAUUACAAAGAUGUUCAAACCUUAGAGCUACUUAAACAAAUUCUAAAUGGUACUCACUAAACUGGAUAGAGCGCACAUGAAUAAUUAGACAUAAUGGGGGUCCUUAAUUUUUUAAGCCUAAAGGAUCACACCGUGCAACAUAAAUAAUUCUUCGCAACCUUAGGUGCAAUGGUUUCUCAUAUUAUCCAGCUACCCGAUGACUAUCUUUAUAUUGUUUACCUAAAGUGUACUAAUUCAAUUCUAAAUCGGUACAUGUGUGCCUACCCGUCCCAUUUCUAUAGUCCAAGAGGUGUUAGACAGCUAUGGGGAUGGUUAUAUACUCAACCUAAGGUUUCUUAAAAUUAAAAACUAAGCGCCAAACAAGCGAAGUAAAUAGGACUUCAAAGAAUACAAUUAGCAUGUAAAUGGUUCACAUUUACCUCCCAUACAUACCCAUAGAUGGGUGCGAGGACUGUUACUAAUUAGAAACUGAUUUUAAAGAGGUGGCAGAAUUAAGCCGUCGAUAUAUUAGAUUGGAGAAAUAGGAUACAUCCUAUGAGCAUGAUUUCUUAACGUGAUGGUAUACUAGACAUAUUUUCUAAAUUAACUUGUACCAUUAGAUUAGCUUAUUUGUGCCUGAGACGAAAGUUCUAGAUGACAAUUAUGAGUGCGUGAUGGAUAGUGUAAACUGCCUAGGUGGCAUUGUUAAUCCCAUAGGCAUGAUAUCUAUAUGAGUGUUAUAGCAAGGAGUACUAAGGCAGAAUUUUUUAUUUUAAUCCUAUAGGCAGGAUUUCCACGAUUUAAGAGUUAAUGAACACAAACUAGUUAAUAUCUGAAAAUAAAGAAGUAGCCAGGUGGUGUUAAAUAAACGAGCAAAUUAACAUAGACUAGACCCUAUAGGCAUGUUAACUAGGUGGUGUUAUUAGAUUAUUGGACCCUAUAGGCAAGUUAUCUAGGCAGUGCUCCAUCCAUACUAACUAAGGUCCUAGAAUCAUGUUUCUAAGUGAAACGAACACGUCAAAAUAUGAGUCCUAUAGGCAUGGUUUCUAUUAACAAAUAGCAUGUAGGAAUUCAAGACCUAUACACAUUUUUUCUAUUGGCAAGUAGCACAUAGGAAUUUAAUGCUUUCUACCCUUAAUAUAAAUAUAAUACUAUAUGAAUGCUUUCUAAAAGAUAGAAUACCCGACCCCCAGCAUCCAAUAGCUCCCAUAACUAUUUUUUAUAAGGGUUGUUAUUACAGGCCUAAGAGAAAGAGAUAAAAGUAAAAAAAAAUAUACACUAGCCACGGGUCCAGUGAUAUAGUAACUAAAUACAAUGUGAACCAAGUAUAUAUGGGCCUUCAGAAUUUUUAAAAAAUGGACAAGGCCCACAAUUUGCACCCAUAACUCAGCAGCAGUGAAAAGGCCAUGUUGAGUGUGAUACUCGAUUGAUCUCAAAGGCAAGACUCACCCAACCCAUACUCUUGAUGAUUUUAGAGGACUAGGCUAAACUAGACAUGCACCCCUAGAGGCAGACCUUCUAAAUGCACAUGCUAGUGUAUGUUUUGGUAAUUAAUCAUUCAACACGAUGCGAGGAAGAGGAUUUCGAACAAACAACACAAGUGGUAAGCUAGGAAAUAUGUACUAUACCAUAUCACACUUGUCACUAAUUCUAACAAAAAAACCAUGUCUUAAUGGACAAAAAUUUGCACCAAACAAGUGGCUAUAGUUUACACACAGGUUCACUAUUAACAAGGAGGCAGGUCUCAAAAAACCAUAGAUACCACAAAACUGAAGCAUGAACACACAUAAACGAAUGUCUUCCAAUUUCAAGCGUUACUAAUGAUUUACAGAAAUUAGGAGCAGGAUAUUUAGGAGAACUUAAGGUCUGACUCAACAUAUUAAAUGAGUACAUGCGAGGUCUCUUGUUAAAUAACAGGUGAGAUGAAUCUGUAAACCAGGUUCUAUCAAUCCUAACCAAUUUUGGUCACAUUCUUAGUUUUAUAGAAACUAACAAGCUAUUGACAUGGUAGAACAGUCACCAAAGAGUGAUGAGCUAAACACCAAAUUCAAAAAAUAUCCUUAUCCAAUUUAUUAGCUAAGUCUAAAUAUACUAACAAACAUACUAAUCAUAAUUCUAACAGUAAACAAUCAGUAAUUGAAAUUCAUGAGAUGAACCAGUAGCAAAGAUUUUCUACAAGCAAGCUUUGACUAAUUAAGAAGAUAACAUGAUUGGAAAAUCAUUCAACGAACUCUACGACUAAGCAGGCAAGAGUAAAAUAGAAUGGCUAAUGUUACUAACCAAUCAAGAUGGUAACAAGAACAUGCAGCACAAAUUGAAAAGAGUCUCAAAUUGUGUUCCCAGAAUCUUGAAUCCCCGCAAAUCAGAGUUCACGAGGACUUCUAGGGAUCCCUAGCAGUGCUUAUGCCGGGAAAGUUUAAAAAUCGAUGUCCAUUGGCGUUGGCUUUUAACCGGACACAAAUCAACUAAACAAGAAGUGAAACUAAGAACAAUAGAGCAAUAGAAUCAACAAGUAUAAGUGAGAGAUAAAAGAUGAAUGACUAAGGCUUCCCUCUAAGGGGAAAGGGGAGGGGAUUUAUAUAGUACUAGCAUCAUGUGAACAAAUAAAUAAAGAGGAUCAAUCACACAAAAUAAGGAAAAAGACCACAUGCAAACUAAUUUCAUGACGGAUUAGGGUAUGGUGCAAGCCCUAAUUGAGCAUGAAUCACUAGAGAGGUGCCCUGAUUGGAGAGAUAUUCCCUCUCCCUUGAUAUACAUAGCCAGAAUUUUGCAGAAUCUUUAAAAUCGGGUCCAUUUGGACUCGAAUCAUAGAAAUAGAUCUUCCAUAGGUAGAGCAGUACCAAAUAUUACAUAUUUGAGUGGUAAGCACCUAGAAAAGGUAAGAAAAUCUUUGAUUUGUGGGGGAAUAAAAGAGGAAGGGUGAGAAGGCUCUGUGGCCACUAGGGUUCAUCGUGAAAUAGGGAGAUAAGAGGCGUCAGGUGAGAGGAAAAAUGAUAUUAGGGUUGGGGGGUUAAGAGGGGGGAGGGGCUGUGAGUUGUUGAUUAUUUGAGAUCAAUGGCUGGGAUUUAAAAGGGGUGUUGGGUCGGGUGUACUUGCUAAAGGUCGGGUUUUGGUCGGGUCAAUGUGCUGGGUCAUCUGGUUGGGCUAAGAGGCGUUAGGCCUAAGGGUUUUGGACUUUUUUGGUUCGAAUUUUAGCCUAUUUUGGGCUGAAUUUUGAAACCUAUAAAAUUAAAAUAAAUUAUAAAAAUAACUAACAAAUAUACAAAGAAUUCCAUUUAUGAAAUUAAAUACUUUAAAAUAGUAGAUUAUGAUUAUAAAUAUAUAAAAAUAUUAUUUUGACAUAAAUAGUGUAAUAAAUAUAAUUGUUCUGAAAGUGAAGGCUAUUACUACAAAUAAUGCAUAAAUAAAUUAAAGUGUAAUACAAUUAUAGGAAAUGGUAUACAAAUGCCAUAAAAUAUGCAUAAAAUAUUAGAAAAAUAUAUGUGAAAAUAUAUGUGCCUAUGUUUUCCAAUUGGUCAAUCAUAAAUUAUUUUAUGAAAAUAAUAAGUAAAUAAUUUAUUAGUUGUAAAUUGCUAGAAUCAAUUAAAAAAAUAUUUAUGAUAUAAAUGAAAAUUAUUUAUAUAAAACUCCUAUAAUAAUAAUUUAAGAAACAUACUUAUGAAGUAGUAAUAAGGUAAUAAAUUGAUAUUUUAAACAUGUCAUGGAGUAAUAAUACAAGGAAAUAUCCUAUAAAUAACACUUAUAAAAUAUAAAAAUUCAUUAUAAAAAUAUAAUAACCCACAAAGGUUAAAUGGAGAAUCAUAAGGUAAAAUUGAGCAUCAACAGCUGCCCCUCUUUACCCUAGAAUGAUGAAAGAAUUAUCGGGUAAAGAAAUCAAAAUGAUGAUCAAUUUUGUCCGGAUGUGAUGUAAAAUAUGGGAGCGGAACCCUGGUUCAUGAGCUGCCCACAUAUCCCUAAUUUUACGGGAAUCAGGCCAUGCAUAGUUAUGGAUCCAAAGGUAAACGAGGCCUAUGGAAUUAUUAUGAAAAGACUGCAUGCUUUGAAGAACUAUUUCCCUGGAGUAGGGUGGUGUCGUGAACGGUUGAUUUUAUAGAUGAAAGUAUGGGUAACAAUAAUGUAGAAUCGAUCGUUACAGAUGCUUGAGGCGAUGUGAUUGAGGAAACGGUUACGGGAAAGGAAAAACUCGACUAUGGGUUGGUGGUUAUUUGGGGAUAUCAAAGGAAUGUAAAGUUGAAUGGAAACCGGAGUGAGAAUUGCUCCUAUUUGAAGAACGGUUACCUUCCGUGUUACCUGCAAAACUCAAAACACAACGAAUAAAAAAAAUAUGUACAUACAUAGUAGUAAUAAUAUCAUAGUUGUGAGCGCGAUAAUUUAAACAUUAUACAAAUUCCCUUAGGACCAUGAAAGUUGUCUUCAAACGAUGAGAAUAACGUCCUUAGACCAUAAUGUCCUGGGCCAUGAAGCGUAUAUAAGGGAUUCGCAAGCCAUAAAAUGGUGUCCUUGGGCCAUGAAGAUGGUGCCUUUGGACUAUGACGCCUUUGAAUAAUGAUGUACAACUUCGAGAUCCUUAGGCCAUGGAAUGAUGUCCUUAGGCUAUGAAGAUGAUGCCUUUGGGCUAUGACGUCUUUGGAUAAUAUGGCCAUCUUUCAGCCUAUGAGAUGUAAGGAUGUAGCGAUAUUUGAUUAUUCACAAGACAUGGGGCAAUGCUUAACCCUAUGCAAUAAAGGAUGCAGAGCUUAGCCUCAUGCAGGUAGUGAGGGCGAUAAUUGACCUUAUGCGAAUAAGAGGGUCGUUCUUGGCUUGAUGCAAUAGUCAGGGCGACACUUAGCCCUAUGCAGGUGUGGAGGCAGUGCAUAGCCUCAUGCAAGUAGGAGGGUCGUGCUUGACCUGAUGCAACAGUCAGGGUAACGCUUAGUCCUAUGUAGAUAUGGAGGCAAUUCUUAGCCUCAUACAAGUAGGAGGGCGGUGCUCGGCCCUAUGCAAAUAGUGACGGCAAUGUCUGGCCCUAUACAGGUGCGAGGCAGCGCUUUGCCUUAGACCAGUAGAAGGGUCAUGCUAAACAUGAUACAAAUAGUGAGGUCGUUAUUUAUCCUUAGGCAAGUGUGGAGGCUAAGCUUAGAUUUAUACAGGUAGGAGGGUCGUUCUAAACCCGUUGCGAAUAACGAGGGAGAUGUUUAACCCUAUGCAUGUGCGUAGGCAGAGUUCGGCCUCAUGCAAGCAGGAGGUUCGUGCUUGAAACUAUGCAGAUAGUGAGGGCAGUGCUUAGCCCGAUGCAGAUGAAGGCACUGCUUAGCCUCAUGCAAUAGUGGAAGUAAAGCUUAGCAUCAUACAAAUGCAAGAAAGGAAAGAAAUUCUUAGCUCGUCACAUUUAGGAUUGGUAGAAUCUACCAAUGUGAAGAUAGUGAUAUCGUUGUAUAUCCUUUGCGGAUAUCCUUGACUAUGCCAUUUCUAAUAUUCCUGUGCUCAAAGAAAAAUUGUAAGUUGAGGGGAAGGUUGAUUCUUGCUUUUGAUUCCGUGUCUUGUCCUUGCUUUUGGCUCUUGGUACUUCCGCGCUCUUAAGCUAGCCUAGGUAAUAUUUGGCUAUUAUAAAAAAUUGAGUUUGAACAUAUGUAUCAUUUGUACUUACCAAAAUAGAGAGAACGCAUUUAUUAAAAUGCGUGAUAAUGUAUAAAAAAUAGUUUUAUGUCGAAUCAUGAAGUGUGACAUGCUUUGAGACAUUACAACAUCCUUAUAUUGUAUAUAAUUGUGAGGACUCCCUCAAAAUUUGAAUUCUGCCCCAGCUCUGACGAAUUGAAUCUGAUGUACUUCCUGAUAAUACUCUUCUGGCGACUCUUGGUGCGACAAUAUUGGAUCUGAUGAAACUCAAAGUUUUCCCCAAUUCUUGACCACAGAGGGAAAUGGACUUUAUUAUAAUGUAAUCGACCCAUAGGGCUACCUACGUAUCCUCUUACAUGGGAAUCAGCUCAAGCGUAGUUCAUAUUACAUCAAGAACAAAGUGUGAAUACAUUUUAGACAUAAUAUUUUUUGACAACAUUUGAAUUGAUGGGCUUUGGACAUAUCUUUCCGUCCAUUUCUGCUGGCAUGAGAUCUCCUCCUAUCAACAUUCGAUGAACCAUGUACAUACCCUGCCAGUUUGGUGAGAAUUUACCCUUUGCCUCAUCCAAAUGUGGGAAGAUUCGCUUCAGAACUAGUUGCCCCGAUGAGAACUGCCUUGGUGUUACCUUCUUGUUGAAAGCCUGUUCUAUUCUGUUAUGGUAAAGUUGACCAUGACACACUGCAUUCAUUCUUUUCCCGUCAAAGAGAGCCAAUUGAUCAUAUCAAUUAUGUACCCAUUUUGCGUCACUGAGCUCGGCUCCUUGUAUAACCCAUAAGGAAUGGAUUUCUACCUCAGCGGGCAUAACAACUUCAGUACCAUAAACCAUUACAUAAGGAGUUGCCCCCAUUGAUGUUCGGACCGUGGUGCGAUAUCCAAGCAAAGAAAAUGGUAGCUUCUCAUGCCAAUUCUUGAAGCUGUCUAUCAUCUUCCUCAGUAUCUUCUUAAUAUUCUUGUUGGCGGCUUCUACAACUCCAUUUAUCUGAGGCCUGUAUGUGGUAGAAUUGCGAUGCUUGAUCUUGAAUGUCUCACACAAGGCCUGCAUCAGAACACUGUUGAGGUUGGCGGCAUUGUCAGUGAUGAUUGACUCGGGAACUCUGAACCGACAGACAAUACGAUAUUGGAUGAAAUAUGCUACGACCUUCUUUGUCAUGGCUUUUUAGGAGGUAACUUCGACCCAUUUGGUGAAGUAAUAAAUGGCUACAAGGAUAAAUCUAUGCCCACUAGAGGUGGCAGGCUUAAUUAGGCCAAUGACAUCUAUGCCCCAAGUAGAAAAAGGCCAGGGUGAACUCAUCACAUUGAGUUUGUUAGGUGGAACCCGUAUCAUGUUAACAUGUACCUAAUACUGGUGGCACUUUUGCACGUACUUGAUGCAGUCAGUCUCCAUAGUCAUCCAAAAAUAUCCCGCCCUUCAUAUCUUCUUAGCUAGAAUGAACCCAUUCAUGUGAGGUCCGCACGUUCCGACAUGUAUUGCUUCGUGUAGUCUUGAUGGUUGUUUAUCAUCCACAUAUGUUAACAACCAAGAUUAGGAGUCCUUCUGUAUAGAAUUCCUCCACUCCAAAAGAAAUUAUUACCUAGUCUUCGUAAUAUGCACUUCUGAGUAUGUGUAAUGCUUUCUGGGUAUUCUCCCCUAUCUAGAUACUCCCUGAUAUCGUGAAACCACGGCUUCCCAUCAAAUUCUUCUUCAACAUGCGCACAAUAGUCGGGUUGCUUGCAGAUCUCUAUCAGGAUAGGGUCAAUUUAAUUCUUAUCAAGAUGUUGUAUCAUGGAAGACAAUGAGGCCAACGCGUCUGUGAACUCAUUCUGAAUCAGGGGAACAUGCUUGAAUUCUUUCUUUGCGAAUCUCUUAAUCAAUCCUUGCAUAUAAUGUAGGUAUGGUAGUAUUUUGGUAUUCUUGGUGGCCCAUCUCCGAGUACCUGAUGUAUCAACAGGUCUGAAUCUCUGAUCACCAGCAACUCCUUGAUGUUCAUGUCAAUGGCUAUCUUGAGUCCCAGGAUGCAAGCUUCAUUUUCCACCAUAAUGUUAGUGCACGGGAAUCUGAGCUUGCCGGAUAUUAGAUAGUGUUGUUCGGUUUUCGUUACUCGAACAACUCUGAUGCCCAAUCCUUUGAAAUUUGCAGCUCCUUGGAAAAACAAUCUCCACCCGUCGGUAAUAUACGUCUUCAAUGGUUCAUAUUCUCCAUCCACAGGAUUCUCUGCUAGAUGAUCGGCCAAUUCUUGCUCUUGACUACCUUUUGAGUCACAUAGGCGAUGUCGAACUCAUUAAGCAUUAUUUUCCACUUUGCCAACUUGCUUGUGGGCAUAGGUUUCUGAAAAAUAUACUUUAAGGGGACCAUUCUUGAUAUGAGGUAUGUAGUGUAUGCACAAAAAUAGUGUCUUAGCAUUUAUGCUAUCCAUGUCAAGGCACAACAAGUAUGCUUCAAUAAAGAAUGUCGAGCUUCAUAUGGGCAUGAAAUUCUUACUUAGAUAGUAUAUGGCUUAUUCUUUCCUUCCAGUCUUAUCGUGUUGUCCCAAGAUGCAUCUGAAUGCUCCAUCCAACACGGAGAAAUACAACAGCAGAGGUCUCUUGGGCUCUGGUGGGACCAGUACAUGAGGUUUAGACAGAUACUCCUUGAUUUUGCCAAAGGCUUUUUGACAUUCCUCGGUCCAACUUGAUGCAACAUUGUUUCUCAAUAUCUUGAAGAUCGGUUCACAUAUUAUGGUCGACUGGGCUAUGAAACGAUUGAUUUAAUUGAGAAGGCCCAAGAAACUCAUCACAUCUUUCUUAUUCUUAGGUGGCGGCAAAUCUUGGAUGGCUUUGAUCUUUGAUGGAUCUAACUCAAUCCCUCAAUGGCUAACAAUGUACCCAGUAGUUUCCCGGCAGGGACCUCGAAGGCACAUUUCGCGGGGUUCAUCUUUAAGUUGUACAUCGGCAGGAGGUUGAAACACUUUCUCAAAUUUACUAUGUGAUAUGGACUUUUUUUGAAUUUGAUGAUGACAUCAUCCACAUAAACUUCGAUCUCCUUAUGAAUCAUAUCAUGGAAGAGGGUAGUCAUGGCCCUCAUGUAAAUAGCUCCGCCGUUCUUUAAACUGAAUGGCAUCAUCUUAUAGCAAUACACACCAUACACAGUGAUGAAGGCCUUUUUCUCUGCGUCUCCUUCAUCCAUCUAGAUCUGGUGAUAUCCUACAAAACAAUCAACAAAGGACUGGAGUUCAUACUUAGCGCAGUUUUCGAUCAAGAUAUGUAUAUUUGGUAGUGGAAAAUCAUCCUUGGGAUGUGCUCUAUUCAGAACUCUAUGGUUGACGCAUACCCUGACCUUUCCAUAUUUCUUUGGUAUGUGUAUGAUGUUGGCUAGCCAAGUCGGAUACUCAACCACUCGAAGAACUUUAGCGUUGAUAUGUUUGGUAACCUCCUCUUUUAUUUUCAUACUCAUGUCUGGCGUGAUUUCCUAAAUUUCUUCUUCACUGGUGGACACAUUGGGUUGGUAGGUAGCUUAUGGGCCACUAUGGAUGUGCUCAACCCUGACAUGUCAUCAUAGGACUUGUAAAAAAUGUCCUCAUAUUCUUUCAAAAAUCUGAUGUACUUUUCUUUGUUGAACGUGAUAUGCGGAUACCAAUGCGUGUCUCUUUGACUGUUUUAGAGUCUCCCAAGUUAACGGCUUCGGUUUCAUCUAAAUUCAACUUGGGCUAGUUCUCAAAAUCCUCUACUUCCUUGAUGAUUUCCUCGGCUAUUACAUCAUUUUUCCAUUCCUGCAAUCACUCUCAUUGUGUUGCGUUAUUUUAUUACAUGUCAUCAUUGUAGAUUCAAUAGGGUAGGAAAUAAUUAUGCUGAAAAUGCAAUGAUAGUAAUAUAAAUAAAUGAAAGGGAAAUAGUGCAUUAAUAAAUACUUAAAUUAUAUCAAAACAAGCAUGACUUGAUGUCUCGAGUACUUAUUUCAAAAACGGAAAUACUGAAUGUAUUAAAUGCUAGAAAGUCUUAAAAAUAUGCUAGUCUGCCAAAGCUACCCAGGUGAUCGCUGAGCCCAGGAUGGGGUAGCAGUCUAAUUCUCUAGCACAGCUCCACAUCCUGCCACCUGGAUGGUGAAAUCCUCCACCUCCUCUCUCAAAAUCACAUUGCACACCUUGUCUUCUUUGGUCAGGAACAAACUUCUUAUGCCAGCUAGAAUCUUAUCUUCUUCAGAACCCCAAAUGGCGUCAGAUUUGCGAAAUGUUUAGUACAAUGGUGGUAUGGGUUUUGGUAGUGGAUAGUAGAAAUCGUUCCAUGGAGAUGACCAGUCCUGAUAUACUUGUACGGUCUAGUCAUACCUGAGACCGAAGGUGGUGUUAUGAGACCGCACUCAUAUCAGUUCUGUUAUCCUUUGAAGCUUAGGGCCGAGACCCCAGCCUGGCUCGUAUCCCAACCAAAGCAACAUGCUUAGUACUUUGUCACUCCACCAUUGUCCCUUCUCGACGGUGUUCAGCCGUUCAGUGUUGUGGAGUCUUUAUCCCCCUAACUUCCUUUUGCCUUCAACUGUUGGUACCCCUUUAUUAGUAAAUUUGGGAUUAUUACUAUCUCUAUGAAUGACCAUCUCCCAGUGAUCCCAUUCGAGUUUCACAGCAUGAUGUAGAGUAGAAGAAACUGCCCCGACCAUAUGUAUCCAUGGUCGUACCAGCAGAAGGUUAUAAGUGGUAGAGAUGUAUAGUACCUUGAACUCAACAUCAAACACAGUUGGACCUAUUUUCAAACUCAAAUCGAUUUCCCCGGUUGUAGCUCUCUGUGACCCGUUAAGUGCUUUCACAUUCAUGCUCCCUUGUCUCAUCUCAGGUAUACCUAUGCUCAGUCUUCUCAAAGUGGUCAAAGAACAUAUAUUCUGACUUGAGCCUCCAUCAAACAGAACCCGGACGAUGAACGUUUCUUCAUAUUGCAUGAUAAUGUGCAAUGCUCGGUUGUGGCUCAAACCUUAUAGCAGCAACUCAUCUUCGUGGAAAGUUAUUUUAUGUUUUUCCAAUAUUUACCCCAUUAUGUUCGCCAUCUCUCCACUGGUGAUGCCAACAGACACAUAAGCAUAACUUGAUAACUUUAUCAAGGCAUUCUUGUGUGCGUCUGAAUUCUGCAACAAUGAUAGAAUGGAUAUAUAGGUAGGAGUUUUGUUCAAAUGAUCAACAACAGAAUAUUCCUUAGCAUGUACUUUCCUCCAAGAUCAUCAUUAUUUGUUUCUAAAACAAGUGAGUUUUGUGCAAUUUCCUUACUCGACCCUCCUUGGGAAAGAUUCUUUGGCGUAUACACCCUACCUGUUCUAGUCAUUCCUUGAGCAGCCUCUACUUAUUCUGCCUUAGCCUUUUCUUUUCUUCUGACUUCAGCCAUGUAGUCCCACGGUACAACUUUAGGAUGCUAAGCACGUGUCGGAGCUACCAUCACAGUGAAUGGUGGCCUAGAUAUAGCCACUUCAACUUCAAAUAGUGCCUUGGCUUACAGCAUAAUCGGUGAGGGCAUAUACAGGGGAUGCCACCACAGUAUCUCUGUCUCAAAUAAAACCAAUGGACCUUUCUUGGUCCCAUUCUUCAUUAGUUUCAAUCAUGUUUAUCACAUCACCCCUAUAGUUAGGAAGGGGGUUGUUGUGGAUUUUGGGUGUCGGCUCUUUCAAUUGGAUCACCUUGGUGUCAAUCAAUAUUUGAAUCACCUUGAAUGGUGUGCCCUUUCAAGCCAGAGUGAUAGGCACAUGUUUUGUUAGCGUUGAUCCACUGGGUUGGGUUUUCAGUUACUACCGCAGGGAUAUGGGUGAUGUAACCGGAAACUUUUAGCCUCUCAUACAAUUGGGCAAUAGGUUUAGCGAGAGGGGUAUAUUGCUUGGGUGGUCUGCGAUCGAAACUGGCUCGAGGUUUAGGGUAGUUCUGUCGGGUAGGUGGAGGUGAGUGAUAGUAUGUUGGCUGGGUGUUGUAGGUAUGGUAGGUGGUAGAAGGGUAGUGAUAUUUUGGGAGUGAUUGAUGAUAUACCAGCGGGGGUGCUUGAUAAGUGAGUGGAGAUUUUGGUCUUUGGGCCACCAUUACGGAACCCACUUCCUUCUUCUUUGAGAUUCAUUCGGACUGUAAAGCUUUGUUAGUAUCUUGCAAAGCCUCACAAUUGGUAGCCAUGCCACUCUUUAUACCUUAUUCAAUCCUUUCUCCUAACUUGAUUAUGUCAUAAAUUUUAUGGUUUUCUAUGACCAUCAACCUCUCAUAGUAUUGCGGGUUCUAAGCUUGUACGAAGAACUUGUUCAUAUGUUGUUCUUCUAGCAGUGGCUUACCUUAGCAGCCUCAGAUCUCCAAUGGGUAGAAUACUCAAGGAAAAUUUCUGUGUCUUUCUUCUUGAGGUUUUGAAUGUAGAAUAUAUCUGGAGCAUUCUCUGCGUUGAAUCUAAAUCUUUCCAUGAAGUCUGACGCCAUACUCACCCAGCUGGACCACUUCUUCGAGUUUUGAUUGAUAUACCAUGCCAAGGCAUCUCCCAUAAGACUUCGCAUAAACAACUUACUUGACUAUUUCAUCUCCAAUUUCAUUGGUUGUUGUUCCCCCAAUUUCUUUGAUUUUUGUUAUGCCAAUUUCCUUGAAUGUUAUAAGGACUAUAUUGCUUUAUUGGACCCUUAAAAAUUCCCUUUUUGAUUUUGUUAACUGUUCACAAAUUAAACUUUCUUAAUUUGCUCUUGGUAGGGACCCUCUUUACUGUAACCUGCAGCAUAUUGUGAUUACAUCUCCUUUUGAGGUUGGUAUUUAUAUCUUUUAGCUCUUUGCUCGAUCAACGCAUGAAAACCCUCCAUUUCAUGAACUGUUUUUGGAGAUUGAGUUUGUUGGGGUUACGCUUUGGCUAGUUGAGUCGUGGUGAUGGUAAAAUCGGCAAUAGCUUGACCAUGAUCUUGCAACUCUUUGUGAAGAUGGAUCAUGUUAGGAUCGCCUUGAUAGGCAUUAGCUUGAGAUUUCCAAGCGGAAGAUGUCUCCCCUAUCUUAUCAAGUACCUUCCAAGAUUUCACAUAAGGUGUAGUCGUGAAAUUUGCCCCGACCAGUUAGUUCACCACACAUUGAUUAGUAGUAUUGAUGCCACGAUAGAAGGUUUGUUGCAAAAUUCUCUUGGUCAUGUCAUUAUUCGGACACUCCUUCAACAUGGUUCUAUAUUGCUCCAAUAUCUCAAAUAGUGGCUCAUUUGGUUCUUGCUUGAAUGCCUAUAUACCAUCUCUUAAUGUUUUCAUAUCUACGAAUGAAAAGAAUUUAGCAUAAACUCUGCCGCGAACUCAUGCCAUGUGUGAAUAGAAUAAUUUGGCAAGCGUUCCAAUCAAUCUAAGGCUUUUCCCCAUAGUAAGAAAGGGAAUAAAGUUAACCUCAAAGGAAUCUCAUUUGAGAAAUUUGUUUGCUUGCUUCCCAACAGGCAUCCACAAAGCCUAUCAAGUGUUUAUAAGCAUUUUGAUGUGAGUUCCAGUGAAAUAGACUUGUUGCUCAAGCAAAGUGAGCAUGGCAUUUGUGAUUUGGAAAUUGCCCGCCGUAAUGCGAGGGGGGAUAAUAACACUAACAUAAUCUUCAUUUUGCAUAGCAUAUUGUUGUGCAAAUUAGCUUGUGAUGGUGGUGGAGGUGGGUGUAGGAACAUUAUUGUUUUGGACUCAUCCCCUUCAGUUUCUUUAUUGCCUCAGAGCCACUUCAUCAACUAGGAACUCAUCACCAUCCUCCUGUCCCAAUGGUAAAUUUGCAAUGUCAUUGUUGUUGUCCAUUGGAAACCUACAAUUCUGCAAAUAAUAGUAACAUGAAAGUAAUAUAAUAUAUACAAUAAACAUACCCAAGUAUAUAGCUAAAACCAUAAACUCCAUGGAAACAAUCCCAAAAAUUGAUAACGCCCAAAACAUACCUCCAAAAGAGAAGUGAAACGAUUAUUGCAAUAAUAACCCAAUUAAGUGUCGGGGUUGAACCACAAGGAGCUUUAUGUAGGUGCUAAGAUAGAUACCUAAGGGUGAGAUCACUGAUAUCUUAAAUUAGCUUUCAAUCAAAGGUUGGAGUCACUAAGUCUAUGAAUUACACUAAUUAUUAUCUUAGAGAUAAUUCAAUAAAAACGUAAUAAGAAAGAAUUAAUUAAGAGAAGUACUUAUAUAAUUAAAGGCCUAGGGUUGUUUUUUUUUUUCCUAGGUGUUCCACUAGAUAUGUGUAUUCCACUAAGAUUGAUUGGGUGACUGGAGAUAUUAUGAUACACACUCUAAUUACUCACUUGAUGUUUCUCAACUAAUAUGUGGACUAAUUCAAAUUGCUCUCUCGAUACAAUAGAAUUACAUUAAGCUUGGUGUUGUUGUAUCCAAGUCAAGAGAUCCCUAUAUCUAGUUUAAUCUCUUUAAUUAGGCCUAAUCGAAUUCUCAAUUAGUCUAGUUCCUUGUUAGCCAAAUUACCCAAACUCAACUCCUUUUUCUCAAGUAAAAGUCAAAUCAAAAGGGGUUGACGUAGUGUUUGUAAUCAUUAAUUCUCAAUUUAAGCGUGAAAAUGGCUAAAUAAUAAAUCCAUAAAGUUUCACACACUCGGGUUGAAAUACAAUCCUAGUUAUAAGUCUAACUACUCAUAGCUAUGGACAAAAACACAAAUACUAGAAGAAACAAACAUAAUUAAAUUACUAAUUCCCAAAUUAAAGAAAAAUAUAUUUUAAUCAUGAUCUUCCUCCUUGAAAAUACUCAGAUACUCAAAAGUUGUUGUACUUCAAAUCCUAAGGCAAAAGAUAUCCUAAAAAGACCUAAAAAUACUAUUUAUAAUGUUCCAGAAGUUCCUACCAAAAUUGCCCUUGCAUAAUGAGAGUGCGGUCUGCACUUUGGACAUUCUAACUGUAGAGUUUCAGUCACACUUUAGGUCUUGCAGUCGCACUUCCAAUCUUGCUCACUUUAAGUCUUGCGGCCGCACUUGGAGAGGUUUGAAUUUAGCUUCAUGUUCAUUCUUUGAUGUUUUUUCUUCAUUAGUGCGGACUACUUUGUAAAUCAGAGCACGGCCGCAUACUUCUAUGUGUGGUCCGCAAAAUGGCUGAAUUACAUAGGCUUCAGUAUCUUGACUUUUGCGGUUGCAAAAUCCUAAGUGCGGACGCCACUUUUAGCUUAACGAUCUGAUCGGUCAUUUUGAGUAUUUGAACAUCGUUCCUCUAUUUGAUAUUUCCCUUAUGUAUAUUUGAUAUUUUGUAACUUGCAGGGAUGUGUGGUUUGGUUAGCAUAGGGUUCAGGAAUGAUUCGGAAUACCUGGUUUCAUUUUGAAAGCCAUAAGUUGAAAGAGUUUAUCAAUAUUUGACUUUUGUGUAAAUAAUCUCGGGUUGGUAAUUUGAUGGUUUCAGUAGGUUUUGAUGGUAUUUUUGGACUUAGGCAUAUGCUUGGAUUUAUUUUUGGGGGUUCCUAGAAGAUUUUGGGCUUAUUCGCCGAAAGUUAGCAAUUUGAAAAACUGAAAAGUUCUUGAGUUUGACUGGUAGUUGGCUUUUAUGAUAUCGGGCUCCAAUUGUUGUUCUGAAACUUGGAAUAUGUUCAUUUUCUUCUAUGGAACUUGUGUACAAUGUUUGGUUACGAUUCGAUUUGGUUAGGCAUGAAUCGGAAGUUGUAACGACCUGGCCGAUCAUUUUGAGUAUUAUAGCCAUGUUCCCCUAUUUGAUGUUUCUCGUAUGUGUGUUUGUUAUUUUGUAGUUUGCGGGGUUGAUUGAUUUGGAUUUGGGAAGGUAUGGGGGUGAUUUGGAACACUUAGUGUCAUUUAUGGAAGCUUAAGUUGUAAGAGUUGACCAAGAUUUAACUUUUGUGUAAAUGACCUCAGAAUGGUAUUUUGAUGGUGCCAAUAGGUUUUAUGGUAAUUUUGGACUUAGGCGUAUGCCCGAAUUUGGUUUUGGGGGUUCCUAAGUUGAUUUGACUCUAUUUGGAAAAAGUUAGAAAUUUGAAGGUUUGGAAGGUUCAUAGGUUUGACUGAGAGUAGACUUUCGUGUUAUUGUGUUCAGUUUGUUUUUCCGGGAGUUGGAAUAGGUUUCGUUAGGUCCUUUUGAACUUGUGUGCACAGUUUGAGCUUAAUCCAAAUUUGUUAGGCUUAAAUUAGACGUUUGGUAUGAAGUUUGGAAUAUGAUGUACUUAAGAGAAGCUUAACAUAUGUUUUGGCUGUCGAUUCUUGGUUUUGAUGUUAGUCGUGGUGUUUGGAGCAUCCAGACAAGUUUGUAUAAGGUAUUGGAUCAUUUCUUCUUGGUCUUAGAUUGCUGGUUUUAUGAUGUAUUCCAGUUCUUCACGAUCGUGAAGCUAGUCCCGUGAUCGUGGAGAAGAGGGAGCAUAUAGAAGGAUUUUCCUCUUUGCGUUCACAAACAAGGUCACGUGUUCGCGGAGAGGAGGGAGCUCAAGCAGAGCGAUCGCGUGACGAGGACGCGUUUGUGACGGAGUGAUGCUAGGGGGAAGGGAUGCAUUCACAUUCACGGAGCUAGGCCCUCGUUUGCGUAGGCUCAGUAGGUGGCUAGGCAUCACGUUCUUGAGGAAGGGGCAACAACUGUGCAAGGAUUUGGCCUUCGCAAUCGCAAAGUUGGUCCCGCGAACGCGAAUUGUAUAACUUGACAGAAGUAUAUAUUGUUAUUUUCGGGACCUUGAGCUCAUUUUAUCAUAUUUUUAGAUUGGGAGCUCGAAUUGGGGCGAUUUUUACCCACUUGGAUUGGGUAAGUGUUCUUGAAUCGGAUUUGAUUAUUAUUGAUGAUUCUACAUUUGAUUUUGGAAUUUGAUUGGCGAGUCUAAGAGAGAAAAAUUAGGGGUUUUGACAAAAGUUUUCUAAAGUGAAAAAUGGAUAUUUGAACCCCAAUUUGGAGUCAGUUUUGGAUGAAACUCAUAUAUUUGGACUCGUAUUUAAAUGGUAGUUGGGAUUUGUGACUUUUGUUGGGUUUCGGAAGGCGUGCCCGGGUUGUCUUUCUGGUUGACUUUGUGUAGUUGAUUAAAGAUUCCAUCUUUAUUGUUUGGAUUCGAUUUCUAUGGCUUUGUUUGACGUUAUUGAGUUGUAUUUGGCUAGAUUUAGCUUGUUUAGAGGUUGAUUUGAGAGGAAAUAUUAUUUUUGGGAUAUUAGAGGCUACCGGGUGGAGGUAAGUCUCUUGACUAACCUUGUUAAGAGGGAAAUCUCUAGGAUUUAACUUGUUUGCUAUGUGUUUGAGGUAUUGGGGGUGGUGUGUAUACGUGGUGGCAAGCGUAUAUACGUUCACCGAGUUUAUUUCAUGACCGAGGGUAGAAAUUGAAAUAUUUUGUGCUUGUUUGACUAUUUGCUCAUUUAUUCAUGAUUUAUAUGGCUAAUGUGUCUACGUUUGCUCUCUUAUUCAUUCUAGAAAUCAUGCAUAGGCAUGUGAUUAAUUGUGAAGGCAUGAAAACUUAUUCUUGAUAUGUUAAAUUGCUUAAUUAUCCGUAGUCACAUAGAUAUUUCAUGAGCACAUAUCCGUAUGAUAUUUAUUAAGUCCUCGUGCAUCUUCUAUCUGUAAUUCUUGAGCAUAUACAUAUAUUUUCAAUAAUGGAUACAUGAUUUGGAUAGAGGAUAUUGGCACGCAGGAUAAGCGUGUGGGUGAGGUACCGAUAUGGAACAUUGGACAUGAUGAGCGGGUAUUGAUUUAUGAAAAAUGUUAUUAUAACCCUCUUGCGCUUGUAUUUGGUUCCGACCCUCCAGAGUCAGUGAUAACCUAUGUUACUUUGGGCCCUGUGAGUGUGGUCGGUAUAUGGAUUUUGUACUAGGUCGAUACAUGGAUUAUGUAUCGGGUUAUAUUGAUACAUGGAUUAUGUAUCGGGGUACAUGGAUCUUGUACCGACUGAGCAUGUAUUCUUACUAAUGGCUCAUUUAGAGAUAUUUAUUUAACUGUGAUUUGUUACUUGACGUCCUUAUAUGCUAAUUAGGAGCCCCGACUUAGUUAUUCGAGCAUGUUAUCUCUUAGUGAUAUCUGAGCUGCGUUGUGGUUACUUCUAUUCCAAAAAAACAUGCUUAAUACUUUUCAACUAUUGAUAUAUGUGACUCCUGUUAUUCAUGAUGUUACUUAGUGUUCAAUUGUUUAAUUAUGUUAUUGCGCUUGUGUGGUAAGUAUUCGGAAGCAUCUAUCCUCGCCACUACUUCUUCCGGGUUAGACUUGAUACUUAGUAAGUACCGAUUGUGGUGUACUCAUACUACGCUUUUGCUUAUCUUUCUAUGCAGAUCCUCAGGUGGGUCCUAGCAGAGCUUCUUGAUUGGGCUAGGAAACUUUCACAGAGACUUAGGGUGAGCUGCACUUCAUUGAUCUACUUUACAGUCCCCGAGUCCCUGUUCCUUUUUAUUAUUUCUGUCUAUUUGUAUUUCAGAUAGUUUGACAAGUAUACAUACUUGAUCUUAUUUCUAUAGUUUGCUCGUGUACUUAUGCCACCUAGUCUUGGGGUGUAUUGUGUUGACCGUCUUUAGGCCCAGCUUGGGUUUGUUCCUAUAUAAUUACCGAUUUGAGACUGUUUCCAUCUUUAAUUAUUAUCUAUCUCUGUUAAAUAAUGAAAAUGGACCUUAUUUACUAACUUUGAGAUAGCUUGCUUAGCAAGUUCGGCUAGGCGUCAUCAUGGCCUUGAGGCGAGAUUUUGGGUCGUGACAGAUGCUUGGUUGAAAGUUUAAAAGUUCUUGGACUAAAGACAAGUGCAACUUGUGGUUUGAUGCUGGAUUCUUGAUUGUAGAUGUUAUUUUGAUAUUUUAAGCUUACAAACGAGUUUGUAUGAGGUUUAUUUACUUAUGUGGAUAUUUGGAAUGGGGUCCGAGAGGAUCGGGUGAGUUUUAAAUUGGUUUCGGGCUAUUUUGCUUAGUUAGGAUUUGUUGGUGUUACAAUCAUCGCAUUUGCGAUGAUCUUCUCCCAAAUGCGAGGUUUGCAUAUACAGACUGAUCCUCGCAUUUGCGAUAGGGUGUAACGACCCGAUCGAUUUUUAUAGUUGAGCCAUGUUCCCCUAUUUGAUGCUUCCUAUAUGUGUGUUUGUGAUUUUGAGACUUGGGGGGUUGUUUUAUCUUCGGAAAGGUUUGAGAGUGAAUUGAGUCACUUAGUAUCAAUUUGGAAGCUUAAGUUGUAAGAAUUGACCAAGGUUUGACUUUUGCGUAAAUGACCUCUAAUGGGUUCUUUGAUGGUUUCAACAAAUUCGUAUGGCGAUUUUGGACUUAGGAGUAUUUUCGGAAUUGGAAUUGGAGGUUCCUAGGGUAUUUUGGCUCUAUUUGCCAAGAAUUGGCAAUUUGUAGGAUUGGAGAGGUUAUAGGUCAGAUUUUUGUUUCAGAACUUGGUAUAGGUUCGUUAUGUCAUUUGGGACUUGUGUGCAAAGUUUGGUUGGAUUCCGGAUUGGUUAGGCUUGAAUCGGAUGCUUAGUUGCAAGUUAGAAGUUCUUGAUUUUAAGAGAGUGAUUUUGAUCUUCGAUUCUUGGUUCUGAUGUUAUUCUAGUAUUUCGAGACUUUGGACAAUUUUAAAUUAGGUAUUGGAACUUGUUGGCAUGAUAGGAUGGGGUCCCGCGGGGUUCGGGUGUGAAUCAGGGUGGUUUCGGUCCAUUUUCCCUUUGUUUGGAGUUGUUGGUUUUCUAACAUCCAACAGUGCUUCGCGAUCAUGGAGCUUGUCUCGCGAUUGCAGCGAAGGGGGAGGUUGCAUGUGGAUUUCUUCUUUGCGUUCGCAAGAAUGGGACACAUUCGGGGAGGGAUGGAAGCAGAAGCUUUGCGUUUGCGUGCAAGGUCCGUGUUCGAGAUGCAGUGGCGCCAGGCAGGAGGGUUGCCUUCGCAAUCGCAUAGAGGGUCUCGCAUUCACGUAGGCUUAUAGGGGGCAGCACACUGCGUUCGCAGUUCGUUCUCCGCGUUCAUGUAGUGGGACGGUAGCUGGUCAAUUUUGGCCUUCGUGAUCGCGAUGUAGGUCCCACGAUCGCGAUGUGUUUACUUGGGCAAAAUACUUAAGUUGGGAUUUCGGGACUUUUACCGACUUUAUCAUAUUUUGAGCCUAGACUUCGAUACUGGGAGAUUUUGAAUAGAAAAUUCACUACAUCGUUGGAGGUAAGCGAUUUACACUUGGAUUUGACUUUAUAUCGUGUGUUUCCAUGAAUGACUACACCUAAAAGCUUAGAUUUUAAAGAGAAAUUUGGGAUUUUUGGAAAAACUUUUGGAAAGUGAAUAUUGAGACUUGAACCCAAUUUGGAGUCGGUUUUGGAUGAAACUUAUAUAUUUGGACUCGUAUUGGAAUGAGUGUUUGGGAUUUAUGAGUUUUAUCAGGUUUCAAAAAGCAGGCUCGGGUUGAAUAUUUGGUUGACUUAGUAAAUUUGAUUAAAGAUUUGAACUUUAACGCAUGGGUUUGAUUUCUAUAGUUUUGUUUGACAUUAUUGGGUUUUAUUUGACUAGAUUCGAGCUGUUUGGAGUUGAAUUUUUGAGGAUAUCUUUUGUGAUUUUUUAGCUUACCAGGUGGAGGUAAGUCUCUUGUCUAACCUUAUUAAGGGAAAACCCCUUUGGGAUUUGACUUGAUUGCUAUGUAUUUAAGGUAUCAGAGGUGGUGUAUAUAUGUGGUGGCAAGCAUAAAUACACUUACCAUGUUUACAUCAUGACCGGGGUAGAAUUGGGAUAUUUUAUGCCUUGUUUUGACUAUGUGCUCAUUUGAUUCAUGACUUGUUAGCUUAUAUGACUACGUUUGCUCUCUUAUUCAUAUUAGAGAUCAUGACUAGGUUUAUGGUUAAUUAUGAAGGCAUGGGAACUUAUUCUUGAUUUGUUGAAUUGCUUGAAUUAUCCAUAGUCAUAUAGAAAUUCCAUGAGCACAUAUCCGUAUACGUUUUACUAAGUCCUUGUGCAUCUUUUAUCAAAAUUCCUUGAACACAUGCAUACAUUUUGUAUAUGGAUACUUGAUUCGGACCGAGAAUUUUGGCACGAAAAGUAAGGCGAGCAGAGGAGAUAUAAUUAUGGCACAAAGCAUAUAAUGAUCAGAUAUUUGAUUAUGUGUGAUCUAAAAGCUCCUGUUUGCACUUGAAUUUUGAUCCGUCCCUGUCAUACCCCGACAACGGGUAGCGCGACCGGCGCUCAACCGAGAUACCACGGUUAAGCAAGCCUGCUAUAUGCCUUCUACCCAAUCUUGCCCAUUAACAAUAUAAGAAUCAGUACAAGUGAUAGGCAUGAUAAGAGUCAAGUGUUCCACAUUCUUUUUCCAUUACUCAAAGGAUAUUCAUUUAUGAUUUUCAAAAUAUUACAAGUUUAUAUAUAUGAUGAAAAACAUGCUUGCCAAAUACCAACACUUACUAGUUUAAUUCCCAACAUCAAAUACCACCCACAACCUGCCUACGAGACUCUAAGUAUAACAUCAGAGUAGUAUGGAAGUGCCGGAGCCAAGGCCCCGGCUAUACCUCAAAGCACAAAAUACAAUGCCAAAUGACAUAAAGCCCGGAACAGAGUAGGGCUCACUAAAACCUGCUGAGUAAAGAGUAACUACUAAUGAGCAUCAAGGAUGCCCAUUGAUGAACCACCUGCAUCCAUUGAAGAAGUAGCGCCCCCGACAAAAGGGCCUUAGUACAUAUGGAUAGUAGAAUGGAUAUGUGGCCAGCAUAAUCAAUAUGUGGCUAGCAGAAUGGCCACAAAAUGGUAUGUCAAUUGCACGAUGCAAUUUCACGAUAGCAGAAUGAUUAUGCGGCCAUCUGAAUGAUUAUGCAGCCAGCAGAAUGGCCACAAAAUGAUUUUCAAAUUCUGGGUUGGGUCUAGUCCAUUUCGCGAUGCAAUUUCGCGAUAGCAUAAUCAUUAUGUGGACAGCAAAAUCAUUAUGUGGCCAGCAAAAAUAGUUUUCAAAAUUUGAGUUGCUUCUGGUUCAUUAUGUGGUCAUUUCGUGGUCAGCGGAACAGAUCUACUAUAUUAUAAUGGACCGCAUAAUUGUCAUUUUCUGCAAAUUCAUCUAUCAACUCCACUAUGCAUUGUACAACCCAAAAAGUCCGUACCACAGCUCGUUUUUUACAAUCUUCGAAUACAUUAGCCUACCUCGGCACUACAAAACCCCGAGUUCUAGGUAAUAUUUUAUAGGGCCUUAUAUUCUACCCUGCUUAGGAUCAUUUAUCCUUAAAUAAGGAGUAGAGUCCCGCCCAAAACACCCAACAUAAUUCAUCUCUUCUUUCACACAUCACAAGCCCCCAAAUUUGACUAACUCCCAAAUUUUUCAGAACUUUCGGCAGAGUUUCCCCUGAAUCUGGGCCUAACUACCUGCCAGAGUAACACCAAAACCACCCUAACAACAUAUCCAUAACUCAACAAAGCAUCACAAUAUAUAUCAACAACACUAAUCUCAACAUUAAAGGCAUUACAUUAACAGAAGUGGUACCUUGACAUGAACUGUACAUAUUUUAAGUCAUAACACAUAGAAAGUACCUUUCGAACUAUGGCCAUUUGGCUAUACAAACAGGUAAGAAUAUGUUCUUUCCACAACACUCUAGGCCUUCCAGGUGACCUCCUCGACUCACAGACUUGGCCAUAGCAUAGACUUAUCUAACAAGGAUAACAAUUAGGUACCUCUCAUAAGCCAAUUACCCAUUAACUUCAACUUCCAUAGAUUCCACCGGAACAAUAGACAAAUGAUUCCAACUACCUUCUCGGACAUAGACACAUGAAACACCGGAUGUAUGGAGAACAACGAUGGGGGACAUUAUACGCAUAUCUCGGCCUAUUUCUCUCAAGAUUCUAUAAAGCCCAAUGUGUACUACACCUACUUUAACUUUAUUAACAAUUUACAUAAUAUCUUCAUGGAGAAAGUCUUGAGAAUAACAUGUUUAAUUUCUUCAACUCUAAAUCUCUAUAUCGGACACCCAAUUAAACCCUUGGCGACCUUCAACCAUUAUUCUAUGAUGGGCUAGAAUGAAUAUGACCAUAGAGUUCCUACCCAAUAUGUUCGAUCAUGGAAUGAUGUUUCUUCUUUUACAUGUUUGAAUCUACAACUCUUGAUAGAUUUACUACAAAUAGGAAUAACGAGGUUCGAGAUUGGGCUGGAAUUGUACAAGAAUCCAUCAAUGUACUGAGAAGGGCAUUUCAGGAGGUUAUAUCCUAAGAGACACGUAGGUUACUACCAAUAGCGAUGACAUGGUUAAUCAUUUUAAUGACAUCAUUGGUUAGAAAGGUUCUAAUGGGUAAUAUGAUGCUCCGGGGAGAAAGACAAAUAAAUCCUAUCCACCCAGGGAUGUGGAACAUUAAGGAUAGUAAACUCUCCGCACAUGACAAUGACAUAGUCAAUGAUUCUAGAAGCCGAGAGUUUAAAGAUAAUGGAACCUAGGGAUACUAUAGGAUAAUCAUGGAAGGUUUGCAGAUGUUUGUAAUAAGUUCGCCACGUGUCUUGUGACUUGAAAAGUACUCAGAUGCUAAUGAAGGAUGGGAAAAACAUGAGGAGCCGACAUGCUGCUAUGAUAACCCCAAAAAUGCAUUUGGUCUUGACGGAGAGCCUAUUAAGGGUCCUUAUAAGAAAUAAAGUGUUACAACGACAUAUAGAAGGACGCAAUCUCUCAUGGUUAUCCAACCAGGGUCGGGAAACUAACACAAUGAAUUUACUACUAAGGAGCAUAGUUGGAACACGUUGUAGAGGUAUAAGGAGAAGAUAAACACUUGUUAUGAUCUAAACACGUUUCUGCUAUAACAACUCUCAAGCUACGGUACCCGGCCACAUCAUGAGCCGCUACAAUACUAGGAACAGGGUGAGUUACUCACUGGGGUAUGAUUUAGGUGGAUUGAAAGUUAUACUGAGAUGGGAAGAUAUAAGAUCUUCCUAUGACGAAUUUGUGUAAAUCCCAAAUUUCCUAGAAACCUUAUGCGGACAAGUGACCAUUUCAAUUGACAUGUACACAUAUGAUAGCUACUGAGAUAUGCUCUUAUGUUACUAAAUAGCGAAAAUGGUUCAUGAUAAGGUUCCCAANNNNNNNNNNNNNNNNNNNNNNNNNNNNNNNNNNNNNNNNNNNNNNNNNNNNNNNNNNNNNNNNNNNNNNNNNNNNNNNNNNNNNNNNNNNNNNNNNNNNNNNNNNNNNNNNNNNNNNNNNNNNNNNNNNNNNNNNNNNNNNNNNNNNNNNNNNNNNNNNNNNNNNNNNNNNNNNNNNNNNNNNNNNNNNNNNNNNNNNNNNNNNNNNNNNNNNNNNNNNNNNNNNNNNNNNNNNNNNNNNNNNNNNNNNNNNNNNNNNNNNNNNNNNNNNNNNNNNNNNNNNNNNNNNNNNNNNNNNNNNNNNNNNNNNNNNNNNNNNNNNNNNNNNNNNNNNNNNNNNNNNNNNNNNNNNNNNNNNNNNNNNNNNNNNNNNNNNNNNNNNNNNNNNNNNNNNNNNNNNNNNNNNNNNNNNNNNNNNNNNNNNNNNNNNNNNNNNNNNNNNNNNNNNNNNNNNNNNNNNNNNNNNNNNNNNNNNNNNNNNNNNNNNNNNNNNNNNNNNNNNNNNNNNNNNNNNNNNNNNNNNNNNNNNNNNNNNNNNNNNNNNNNNNNNNNNNNNNNNNNNNNNNNNNNNNNNNNNNNNNNNNNNNNNNNNNNNNNNNNNNNNNNNNNNNNNNNNNNNNNNNNNNNNNNNNNNNNNNNNNNNNNNNNNNNNNNNNNNNNNNNNNNNNNNNNNNNNNNNNNNNNNNNNNNNNNNNNNNNNNNNNNNNNNNNNNNNNNNNNNNNNNNNNNNNNNNNNNNNNNNNNNNNNNNNNNNNNNNNNNNNNNNNNNNNNNNNNNNNNNNNNNNNNNNNNNNNNNNNNNNAGAGAGAGAGAGACUGGCUCAAGAAAGACCUCAACAAUAGGCUGAUUUACAUUAGAUUCAAUUCCAUGUAGGUAAAUAUUAUGAUGGUGCAUGCACAAGCACAAGUGAUCAGAUGCUAUCCAUUUGGAUCAGAAGGUUAUAUAAGAAACUUAUCAGGUAUAGUCCUUUGUGGAGGAUUUAGGGAAGCAAGUGGGAAG